rnacentral:lncRNA from 1 species
AUGAAAAGGGCUGUUCCAGAAUGCAACUAAGAGGUGAGCUAGUGCGGCUAAGCCUGAUGCUACGGAUACUAAGGCUGAAGCUGCUAAGGGAGAGAAUGGAACAGUGCCUGCUAAGUCCGAUGCUAAUGGUAUUGAUGCUAGGUAUUGCUGCUAAGACUUAUGCGGUGUCUACUGAUUCUAGGUAUUACUCUAAGAGGUCCUAUGUUCGUGGUGCUAAUGUCGUUGCGCAAGACAAGACUUAAGUGUGUUAGAGAGUUCAGAGCUCACCGAACAAGUAAGGGCCGAGCUGAAGAAGAGACGAUACUUAAGUAAAAGGAGCUACUGCGAGCGGAACAGAGAACUCAACCAAUUUAUGGCAUUUGAUUGUUUGCACCACUGUAGGGAUAGAAUUAUGUAACCAAACAGCCUCUAUACCUGCCAAAUAGCUGACUCGCAACUCGGGGUGUCGAUAUGAGUGAUUAAAGCUAUGCUAUGGUUGGUAACUCCACUUCUUGUCCUGCAGGAGCUCCUUCCCCUUGUCGUUUCGAGUUCCGUUAUUGGCUUGACGACGUCUAUGAGAGAGGUUAAGUUCUUGGCUUGAUCAGUGUAAUCGUAUAUUAAGUAAUUAAGGGUCAGAAUAGAAUCAGAGGCGACGGGGUAUCAACAGGGUUGCGCAAGCAAAGUUAAUGAGUGCUAUCCAUAUAAAUCUCAAAUGGAAUGCUUGUUCGCAAGUCAGCGCUAAAGGAAUCUCAGCAGCCCGCUCAAAGUACUUUACUUCAGUGGAUUCUCUUAAAGCAAGGGUGCAAGACAGUAUAGACAGAGCGAGGCCCCCAGGUAGUAAGAGUUCAAGAAAGGAGUCUAAGCCUAAGAGUCAAAGAGUGAAGUCAAAGGCCUUGAGGGGAUCCAGUUUUCAAUCAAGGAGUAGCAGACUGAUGGAUAGACACAGGAAUGUCAGUAACAAGCCUAUUCGCAGUUUUUGUUUCCCCAGAUUUCGAUUCCGGAGUGGAAGAAUGAGCUAACGGAGUAGUUACUUUUAUCUUGUGCUAAUGAGUUAAAGUCUGAUGCUUACAACUAUGAGUAUUAGAGCGUAGGAGCUCUGUUCGAAACACGGAAUAGGGAAAUAUAGACUUUCAGCAAGGAGAGGAGAUGGGUCUAAAUGGGACUACUACUUGUUGGGGCACUGAUGGUCUGUGUUCCUAGACUUAACGAGCAGAUUUGGUCAUUAUAGAUCUAAUUUCUUUCUUAUUAAGAUAGAAUUCUCGUAGGAAUGUUUUUCACUGUAUCCGUAGAGGGUGAAGAGAAGUAGUUUCUCAUCUUUUUGAUCAUCUGUGUUUCUCGAUUCCGAAGGUGUUAAGCCCACUCACUACUACUAAAAAGGUGUUGGUCAAGAAGGAGCCAAUGGGGUGGAUAACUUACUUGGGGAAUUGGUCAUAUCGGAAUAGGAGAUUUCAUGGGGCGAGCAACUCUUACUUUCAAACGGAAACCCUGAAACUGCAUUCGAGGUAAAAUACAAAGGAAGCAGGUGCAUUCGAGGUCAAAUAGAAAGGAAGCAGGCGCAAGGGAAAGGGAACAACCAUAAAGAAUAGGGUGCAAAAUGCACUAUUUAACCACUUUAGAAGUGUUAUGGCAAAUUACUCAUGUCAUACCCCAAUUGGGGCCUAUAAAUUCAUUAAUUACUAUAAUCUUUCUGGGCUAAUAAAGUCUACAUCGACAACUGAAUCAUAAGUGGAAAGUAUUGUUUCGGGUGUUGGUGCUUACGCUCUAAGUCUGCAAGUGAGGUUUGAUAGACCUAAGUGGUCAAGUGCCGGUGCUUCUGAAAGUAGUAAUCCAAGUUGUAGUGCUUUUGAAUCAGUAUGAGUUUACAGAGGAGAAGUAGAUUAGUUUACCCUUCUUUAAGUAGUGGUGCCUGUUGUCGAGUUAGAGUUGCCCUUAUAUUAAGUCCUGGGUUUCAGUAUUACCUUCCUUGCGUUGAGGCUGUCACUGCUGCUUCUCAUAACUACUAUAGUAAUAGAGAAUCAAAGUAGUAAGUAUCGGAUUGGAAAUAAGGAGUGAACUAACGCUUCUCAGCAUUAAGCUUAUAACAAGGAGGGAUUGUUUUAGGUUCAGUAGUGACAGAAACAGAUAAAUCAGUAGAAGCCUAUGCCCGUGGGGAAAGGAUCAGAAGCCAACUCAAGGGACUUCAACUCUCAAGUAAUAAUUCCAUAAAGAAUGCAGAACCAAACGGGUAAGUCAAAUGUUGAUCUAAGCCCGAUAUGUACUUGUGUUGAUCUAAGUCCGAUCCGAUAUGUACUUGUUGGUCUAAUCACGUGACACGCAUUAAAGGAAUGCGAGGGACAACUACAAGAGUGGAAGAGCCAAAGGUCAAAUACAUAAUUGGAGAUAGGAAUUUGCCAGAUAUAGUUUUGUAUUUAAUAGAAACAUAGGGUGUAAUUAGGGAAUCAGAGCCAGAGGUAUUGUUGGCGACAGAAAGAGAUAAGGUAGGUUUCAGAUCAGAAUAAGAUAAAGCGGAGUAUGUGUUUGGGAGCAAGGGAAGGCGUGCUAACUAUAUCUAUGAAAACAGAAUUUCAGGCAUAUGGGUGGAAGGCUCACUUCUCUGUUUCACUCCGCUUCGAUCAGGACUGCGAUAAGGUAGUGUUCGACUAACCUCUGAUGGGGUCAAGCAAGGCUUCAACGAAGGAAUGGAGAUCCAGAUAGUCUAAUAAGAUAAAGGAAUAUCCGUUUGAUAACUAUGUUUGUCGUUUUUAGGGCCCAUCUUUUGGGGCGAUAUUGAAGAAUCCGAGGUUAACAUAGGAUAUGAGAUCAGGAGAGACAGACAAAAACCAGAGCUAGGGAGUUUUGAGAUCAAGAGCGGUGGACUCGAGCUAACAAGUAAGGCUUGGGCUGUAUUAUCAUAUAGGUAAGUUUGUAGAGUUCGGAGUUUGUUUACUAUACUCUAAUUAGUGACUAACCUGUAACAUUCCAUUCUUAAAGCAACUGGUAGAUCAGGAGAAGCGAUGGAAUUAAUAUACUUUCGUUUUCGCCUUGUUAGCACUGGUGGUAUUCUAUGCCAUGAGCUAAAGCCUUAGUUUAGAGUUGCAUUCCUUAGGAUGAGUUUGAUUACUUAUGCCGGUGUUUUAGCCUGUUUUCUUUGUUAGAUGACGUUACUGCUAAAUUGAAUCCUGUGUUUCUUGGUUCUUAGAAGCUCUAUUCUUAUUGGACUCUUUCUUUUAGCGAUCGUGAACUCGUUCGUAGUUCGGUCGUGCACCAACUAAUUAUGAUUUCUCUAUUGAAUCAUGAAAUGUACUUAUUGAGUUAUGGUAUAGUAACACUUAUUAGUGAUUCAUUAGCAAAAUAAGGUAAUAAAGGGGUUAAUAUCGCAAUGCGUAACACAUACUAUUCUAAACACUCUUUUUGGUUCACUACCAAUUCUUUUGACUACUGUACUGAGUUCGAUUCUCGUACUAGAAGAGCUAGCCCCUUUCUUGUUAGCAGAGGAAUCUGAUCUGGAUGUUAGUAAGUCGGAUUUCUAUUUCUCUGGGGAAAAGGCAGAGUUUGCUACGUACUAACGAGAAUGAAAAACAGUAGAGUAUGGGCGCCCGGGAAGCCAGGUUCAUGCCUUGCGUCUGUAUUUAAAGAAUUCAAAGUAAGGCUGUUUGCUAGUGGCUCUAUUCUGUAUUUGGUAGUCCAAUCGGGUAGGUGAGAAAUCUUUGUUCUCAGUGGCAACACUGCCGCACGCAAAGACAACGGGGAUAAUAACUUAUAUUAAAUACAUGACCCUUCCCCUGCAAUUCCGUGUUCUUCUCUUUCGUCCUUGCUCCUAGUAUACGAGUUCUGACUUUCCAUUAUUAGGCUUAUAGCUUGAAUACUUUAUAAGUCAACUUCUUUUCUAUCUCUUGAAAACAGGUUUCCUCUUCUAUUAUUUGCUUUGAUCCUAACUGCCCGUCUUGCUUGACUUUAUCUAAGAAUAGGCUACCCCAGUCUAAUACCUUUCAUUAGAACAAAGAAUGUACUAAAUAAAGAAUGGACUAGUGCACAACGAGACUUACACUCAGAAAGUGGGCUUCCCCUACCUUAUAGCAUUAUGAAACUCACUGCUUUUAGUCUGCCAAGUCACUACAAACGACUAUCAGAUGCAACUUGCUACUAUAAGAGAAUGGAUCUACUGCUUCUAAGCUUAAGGCUCGGAACUCCCUGUAGUAGUAUGCUUAUUCGCUUAGAAAGGUCUCCUUGUUCACUUAGCCAGGUAUCCUCGUUAGAGCAUUUGUGGAAUUAUUACUUCUUUUAUUACUCUUAUACUGAUGACUGGGCUGCUCCUUCACUAGAUGCACUGGAUCGAUCAUACCAUACCCUAUAGAGGCUAUUGACUCCAACUUCCCAUACGUAUUCUAUCGGCUCUAACUUUACAUACCUAUUCUACUGGCUCUACUUUGAAUAAUGAUGUUGACCGAGCACCGCGCAAGAGCUAUCAUCAAAAGAGAAAAGAAAUAGACCCUUUGGGACCAAAAGGACAAUAGUGAUUCUAAUUCCAUUGAUAGCUAUGGUGCCAAUGUUAGGUAAACAGAACUCUGUAUUUGUUUACUAUCUAAUGUAUCCUGACUUUCCUGUUUCCUUCUUCAAUAACUUAUUCCGUGUUGGGUCUUAAUAAACUUCAUUCUGUGUUGGGAGUUGUUCUCUCAGCUAGGUGUUCUUUGAUGCAAGGCAAGGUAGAGUCAAUCAAUAGGGUGGGUUUUUCAGAGUAAAGUCAGUAAGUGGGUCUUUCAAGUCCACUUAUUUUCUUUGGGUAAGUAAGGGAAUAGUCCUUGGGUAAGUAAAUAGUCCUUGGGUAAGUAAGGGAAUAGCUUAGCUUGGUGUUACGCGGAGAAUAGAAAAGUAGAUGAAAGAUAUAGUAUUGAUAUUACAAAUCAGGUAGGCAGUUAAUCCUAUUCGCCUAGGAAAUGCAUAGGUUAUAUUACAUUUUGCUUAUACAAAUCAGAAUUCAAGACAGAAGUAAGAGAAUGGAAAGUGAGCAUCUAGUCUAGUGGAGCCCCGAGUAAGCAAGAAUUCACUGCAGGAAUGAUACCACCAAGCCUGGAUACUAAUGCUAACAGAGCGCUACAAGACUGAGUAGGUGUCCUGGGGUCUGCUCGUUUACUGAGUUACUGAUAGAGGUUUUCUAUUCUCAAUUCAGAAUGACAUUGUUGAUGUGCAAAAUAAGAAUGACAUUGUAGUAGUACUACCAGUGUGUUUAGCAUAGAAGGUUAGAGAGGGUAAAUAAAGAACUCAAUCAAUAAGUAACAGAACUCAACCCAGCGGCACAAGAAGAAGUAGGCGUAUAACAGCAAUCGACAGGUAACUAUGCCUAGGGGGGUUAAGCUGAGAACUUACAUUACUGCUCAAAAGCCUUAAUUCGUGGGGGCGCAGAUGAUCUUGUAACCACUGAUUCUCUGGUGACUAUUGGUUAACGCCUAUAACUCUCUAUCAGAUGUAUGGGUUCGGGUCCCUAGCCGGGCCGGAGGGAGUCAUUCGUUGAGAUCGAUUCUGCAAGUGUAGUUCGAGGUCUGUUAUGAAAGUCUAGUUCUUGCCCCAACUGGUAGUAUAUUAGUCUAAAGGUCGGGUCGGGUAGUUUAGGAAUUCAUAUGGGCUUGGUUCAAGAAGUCUUGCCUUAGAUGCACUGGUUGGGGUCUGUAACUACCUAUAAUAAGUCAAUUCUGAGUGGUACCGAUUUGAGUCUGAGCGGUAUGGGUUGCAUUCUUAGUAGCAGUAGUUGAAGCCUGUUUCUCAGUGCACUGAUUCUGGUCGGUAGUGGUUGAGGUCUGCCUAUACUCCUGGGUGAAAGCCUUCCUUGUGUGCUUUAGUAUUAUAGUAGCUUAGCCUCAUUCCACGGUCCCGUGUUUUAGUCUGCCCCCAAAAGCGAACUCGAAAGCUGACACUACCUAUUUCCAUUCUUAUAUGCGAGUGUUUGUAUCCCAUUAACAAUAAGAGUCUUUAGUUGUGACUUUUGAGUUGAAGUCAGCCUUUCCUUUAGCUUAUUCUUUUAUGGCUUAUACUGUUAUCUUAUUCUUUCAGUGUUAUACUGUUAUCUUAUGAAUCUAUUGCUUAUAUUUUUGUGCUGUGGUGUGCGCAUGAUGAUAAUUUCUCUGAUUGACGCAUAAGCCCUAAGGGGGCAAUCCAGAAUGAAAGAAGCAAGUAUCAGACCAAGCCCUACUCUAUGCCAUGCCCCAGCAGAACAAGCAUUAUUACCCGCAUACACUUGAAAACCAUACUUAAUAUAUAAUAAUUGGCUCAAGGUAAAGUUCAGAGAAUAAUUGUCAUUAAUAGAAUCAUAGUAAUUGGUUCCAAAGCGAAAUAAGAUAAUGAGUACGCCCGGAGUCCUAUAGCUCCAUUCUUGCUUGUCCACCCCGACAUUCUCCUUUUUGUUCUGAACCGACUUAACCCAUUAACGGAAUUGAUUAUGCUCCUUAUCUAGCUUAAACACUUGAUUGACCUGAUUGAGAGUCGACAACAAACACGGAUUUCUUUCGAACAGACAAUUCAGCAUCUUAUUCUGUUGAAACGGAUUCUUCCCUCUAUGAUUCGUACUCCAAAUAAUCACCUCUCUAGCAAACAGUAUAGCUUGAAGAUAAGUAAAGGCAAAGGUCUAAUGUUAUUAAUAAGAAAUUCACUAUAACAGCAUUUCGGGGUAUAUGAGUAGGGAUUUCCUCUAUUCUAAGUAAUUCGUUGCAUAUCGAGAUUCAUAUGCUUCUUCUGGAUUUAGUAGUAGAUCUCUGGGCUUGCAGUCAAGUCCGGCAAUGGUCUUUUUUCUACUAGCAUUCCGGGAGGGAAAUAAGACAGAAAGUCUAAAUGUAGAGAACUGCGUCAUCACGGCAGCGAAGGCGGAAGGUGAUUGAGCUCGCGUAUAGAAUGCUUUAUGUAAACUAAAACCCUUACUUUGAGCUAACGACUGAACAUAUAAGUAAUAAAAUAAUAGUAGUGUUUGGAAUAUUGUAUAAAUAUAGAGUCAACAACCCCUCCCUCCUAUUCGUUUUUCCAAAAGAUGUUCUAUAGUGGAGGUACAAGUCACAUUAAUUUGUUGACCGACAAGAAUCAAAGGGCAGGCAAAGGCACCAAUCAAGAAAUGAGAGAGUAUUUGUCGCACCGUUGAGUCCAAUUCCGAAGCGGAGCUAGUCCACUCCUUGAGAAUAAAGUGUAUAAGGCGAUUUGGGCUCAAGAUUUGAUGCAUGCAUAGUUUGGUUGGAUAAAGCGGAAAAGACUAGCCGAACUCUUAGAUGGGAUAUAACCCUAUUAACUGAUGUGUAGAAAUAUGUAAAGCUUUUAUGUCCUUUCCCUGGGGAGCCCGAGCCCUGGUUCCGUUCGCCCAGUUCUUCUUUCAUCAUAUACAGAAGCCGAAUCCGAAUCUAGCUCGAAGAGAAUGCCCACUCGGGGCGAGGAACAAGCACCAAAAGAGACUACCGCUAUCAUAUACCGCGCAGGAGAAGAACAGCCAUCAACAAAGUCAAGGCAAAUAGUUUAGUGUGUUAAUAAGUUCCUCUGGCCGACCACUACUCUGGAAAGGCAGGAAACCCAGAUUGAGAGUACUAAUACCUAUGCCCAUGUUCAAGGACUAAGGGCGAACCUCCGUUUCAAAUGCUAAUACAGAGCUUCUUUAUCGCUCACUUUAGCCUGCCUCUGAUUCAUUCUUAAAGCGCAGUGAGGAACUACAUUUUCUGAAUAAAUAUGAAGUCCGCCAUUGGAAGAAGCACUUCUUUGUCUUGCCCGAACUCUCCUUGCCUUGAAGAACCGUUUGCAUCAGCCUCAGAUGGAAAUGUUGUUUCUGUUUGAAAUGAAAAUGGAGUGGCUUUACCCUUUGCUUGAUUGGCUUUCCCUUUGUUGUCUAUGAGUGCUGUUAUUUCUUGGCUUGACCUUGUAGUGGUGCCAGUUCUAGUGAUUUUGUUGUCGACUCGAAUUGCCUGAUAGUUUGUGCUUCUGAUGCGCGGUGCAGAAGUUCAAUAUGGAUUUCCUUUCAGAUUACUGGUCUGCUACAUGUGAUUGUAAUGAUUGUUUGUAGGAAAACCUUAGCCUUAUUGUUACUUCUGAGAAUCCAAGUAAAGGGGAAUUUGUGACUUCGCCAAGCUACGACUAACGGACAAAGAUAGGGGGUUAAUAAGUGAAAGCAACUACUUGCUAUGUGUUUGUGAGCCAGAGGAGAGCCCUGUUAGAAUAACUAAGUAAUCAAGAAGAACCAGAGGUAUAGUGGCAAUAGGUAUAGUAGCCUUAGUGAGAUUAGAUGCUCUAGUAUUGACUGGCAAGAAGAGAGUGGAAGACCACUUAGUACAACUACUUAUCCCAUAUUAUUCUAAGUAUAUAUACCUCGGAGUUUCAGACCGAUCCUAAGUAUUAGUAGGAAUACGGGCACUGCUAAUUCUAGAUACCCUAACUUCAUUCUUACUUGCGGAAUGAGGCUCAUCUCAUCUAAUAUUGGCUUUCCCAAGUAGUGGAGAGAGAGGUUCCAGAGUUAUUACAAGUCCUGUAUUAAGGGUUGGCAAGAAGAUAGUAGUCCUUUUCUUGUUCUUGUCCCUAGUUUGACUGCUCCGGUUCUUGUGAGCAACUGUAGGAGUGAGUUCAGAUAGUAGCUAAGUAGGAGUGAGUGAUUCCUCAAGUGUUGUUCGAGAGCCCUAUUUACUAUAUAGUAAUAGUUAACACCAAGUCCUGUGUUGGGGGGUAGGUCAGGGAACCCGUUUUCUCUUUAUUUGUAGCCUUAGUUGGUAUCGGGUAUCAUUACGGGUAUCAUUAGAAUAGAAUAGAAUAUAUGUGGGUGCCGCUAUGUGUUAACUAAAUUAAGAUAGGGGCAUAUGUGUUAACUAAAUCAAGAUAGGGGCAUAAAGUGCACUAAAACAUAGCUUUUUGAGUUUGAUAGGAAAUCUAUCAUGUCAUACCCCCAUUGGAGCCUAGAAAUGCAUUUAUUACUAUAAGAUUAAGGGUUCCCUUGGGGCAGUUUCAUCCCCAGUGCCAGGUCCUGUGACAAAGUAUGGUGAGCAGAGGUGGGCAAGAAGAUCUUUGCUAUGUUUUUUCCCAGGAUGCUUUGCCGGGUAUUUAGAUAGAAGCCGGGAGCUCAGGUGUUGAUGACGAAGCGGGUAAUUAACAAUGAAAUUACUCAGUGGUUGCCUGGUGUUUGGGCUUGUUAAAAGAAGUAUGAGUUUACAGAGUUAUAGGAGUAGUGAGAUUAGAGUAGAGGUGGGUUCAAGAGUCGAGGUAGUCAAGCUAGUCCAGAGUGGAGGGAGAUGAGAAAGCAGCUCAGUAGUCAAUAUCAGAAUGAACCACAAGUCCUGUGUUCGGCUAGUGCAUUCUAAGAAUAUAUUAGCAGUAAUAGAAUAAGACAAGUCAGUAUUAGAAUGGAACAAGUAAGUGCGGGUACGAUCUACCGACCUAGUAUACGCUUGGCGGGAGCUGACUUAAGCGGAUGCGUUAGUGACCGGCUUAUGAACGAGGUCUCAAUUCUAUUGCUAUCUAGAUGAAAUUCAAGGAACGCGCUAACACUUCUUAGAUAGAGGUGAUUGAUUGGCUGUACCUUAGCUGUCAUAGAGAUAAUCCACAGUUGGAGAACCAGCUGUUAAUCGAUUGGCCUUAGUUGUCAUAGAAAUAAUCCGCAGUUAGAGAACCUUCUUUUUAGUACCUAAAGUCACUCUUUGCCAGUAACCACUCCGGCUACUUGUCGUUAGUAUAAGACUCCGGCGACUAUCUUUGUAUGUAUAAGUCAGUGGAAGAAUUGGGUACGAUCCAGACAGGUACCUGAGUUAGGAGUUAUAUGAAAUACAGGCACCGGAGUUCCCGACCUCGACCUAGAGCGUAAGCACCAACACUCGCCCACAAAGAGAUUCCCACUACCCUAAACAUAAAGUAAGCCUUAGAAAUACCAGAGGAUAGGUAGGAAAGGGAAGCAGUUAGAAUAGAAAUAGGUAAUCGAAUUGCUUCUAUAGUUAGAGCAGAGCCAGUAGUAAGUGGGUCCGCCCCUGUUCUUGUGUGAGUUUAAGACCGGUUAGUAGAUCCCUUAUUCUGAGUAUCUGAUUUGUAUAUCCCUUAUUAGUAGUAGUAGAUAGGUCGGGUGUUUGACUUGAAGUGGCCAGUUGCAUCUGUAUUUGUAGAAAGAGGAGAGGUAUAGUAGCCGAACACUAGCGGCAGGAUCGGAUCGGGAGUUGGCUUAGAGAUAGGGCUGGAGUUGGGAUCAUAAGUAGGUAAAGAAUAGCUAGGGAGCUUAAUCUCCUUUCGAAUGCCUACGAGGUGUUGGGAAGAAAGAUUCUAUUACUUGCUUUGAUGCGAGGUCAAGUACUUACUGGCUUUGAUACCGAAGCUUGAGAAGGAUCUGAUCUACCCACUAUCUUGUCACCAAGAAACAAGGAGAAAACUCAUUUUCGGGAGCUCAACCAACAAGCCCAGCUAACUCAAUUUAGAAUUGUUGAACUGAAGCUCGCACCCCUUCUAUGGAUCCUCUGCCUUUAAUACCUGGCUAAUGAGUCUGUCUCUCCGCAAUAAGGGCCAAGCUGACUUUAGCAUCGGAAGGAGAGUCGACCAGAUCAGAUGUUGUGCUAAAGUAAUCCCCCGAGUUGACAGUUUAAGCGGAAGAAGAAGCUGUGUUCAAGUAAGAUACGUAAGCUACCGGGCGAAAGUCUGCUACCAGUGCUACUACUACUAGAGUGAAGUCAACUCCAUUCUUCUACUUACUAUAUGAUAAAAGACAAAGAAAGCAUAUCAGUGAAAAGCUUCUUUCUGUGCGAGUGGAAUCGAGUGUUGAAUAAAGAUCUUCAGCGGGUAGUGGAGAAUUACCUGUUCCUGCUCGGGAUUAACCCUUCUUGAUUUCUUUCUUUCACUUAUGCUAGUCUCUUUGAACUAGUAAAUUCAAUCUUCUAAUAAGAACAGAUAGAUACAAACAGAGUCGUGUCUUGGUCACUUCUUUUGUUGGAUGGCAAAUCUCAUUAAAAACAUCUUGGGGGGCGGGGGCGAUGAGAAAGAAUGCUUUUUGACUAACAUCUUGAUGGUUUAGGGCUCCCUACCUGCUUGCCCGUAGAUGAAAACAGCAUGGUUCCUCUUCUUUCCUGUUCUUGCUGUUCUAGUUGAAUACCGAGUGGAAUGUGGUUUAGUAGGGAAUGCUCUUUACUUUAGGGUAGUUUAGUAGGGAAUGCUCUUUACUUUAGGUUUGCUACCUGCUUCUAUAAGACCUAGGCAUGGCGUGGAGGGGCACUUCUCAUUAUGCUUUUUCUGGACUUGGAUCAAUAGUAAUAGGUGGAUCUGAUCUGCUUUAACAGCUUGGAUCUGGAUCUGUGUAAUCUGUGCUUGUUGGCGAUUCUCUAAUUUCAUUCUCACUUUCCUACUGCAUGUAUAGAUUGCGGGGUUGCUGUAGGAUAAGAUACCCACUUUCUAUAGGUUCAAACAAACUGAAACUAUUCAACUGCAUUCUUAGAUUCGGGAUUCUAUAACUCCUGACGCCGAACACCUGGAGUUCUUUUGCCAUUACUUGUUGGAAGCAAUGCUGUGAGUUUGUUACUGAUUCUCUCUCGUUGGUAACACUCAGGAGAUUGCUGCUGACCUCUGACUUGCUUCUUGGGCCGAGUUAACAAGGAUAAUUCCAUCUCUCUUCUUUCGAGCGCAGAGUAGACAAAGAAUUCUUAUAUUUCUAUUGAAACUCCUGGGAUUAAGGUAUUGUAGCCAGUAGCUCGAGGUAUCAGAUAAGAAAGAAAUUAGCAGAGAUGAGCCAUAGGUAUUUCUAUAAGAAAUCAAGAUGGUUGCCAUAGGUGUAAUUGCCAUAACUGUCUUUGUUGCCAGAGGUGGAGGAUAACAAGAAGAGAGGAGAUGGAGGCAAGAACAGACCAGAUAGAAGUUGAGGAAGUCCUGUGUUCGGCUGCUAAGGCAUAGAAUGAAGCUAAGACAUAUCAGAAUUAGACCGGUACCACCGAAAAUGUAGCUAGCAGAUGUAAGACUGAAGCUGCGUAGGCUCAGGCUGAACCUAAGGAGUCCAAGAACCAAACACCGCAUUCCAAGGCUUAUGCUAUUGCUGGUAGGUAUGCUCGGAAUGCAGCUAAGACUUAAAGCAAGGGUAGCUAGACUGAUUCUAUUGCUAGUAAGACUGAUGCCGGUGCUGGGCAGAAUACAACCACUAAAUCCAAGAAUGGAGCUAUUGGGUAGAAGCCUAAGCCCCCGGGGCACGUAUACAGAAUUGGCCUAAGCAGUCAAAGGCUGAAACAAGUAAAUCCAAGAAUGACGCUAAGUAGGCUCAGAAUCAAACCACCGAUACAAGGAAUGGAAAGGCGACGAGAGACAGAUAGAAUUGAACUACUAAGUCUCAGAACCAAACCCAAGAGUGCAAGCCUGAUGCUGGUGCUUCCAACACUUAUGCUCUAAACUCACUCCUUCGCUACUGCUUUUCAUUAUGAGAUUACUUAUUAAGUUCUCUUAUAUUAUAUUGAUUAGCAUGUUAUUAGGGGGGCACAAAAGGACAAUUGCUUUUCUUUUUGUGUAGCAAAGUUGUGGUUUUUCUAUUCUCAUUGAAUUUGAUAUGGUAGUGCGGGUGCUCAGUAAACAUAAUUCUUCGAAGUAGAGUCAAUGAAUGACCUAACCGGUAUGUCCACCUCUACUGUUUCUUAGUAAGGAUCUCCUCUUGACUUAUUGAACCUACCUUUCCCUGUACCAAAUCAGAUAUCCCCGCCUUUGAGCCCCCUAUGGGGAUGAUCCGGUCUUUCCAACCCGUUAUUAGAACUGUUCCCUGCAUUCCGUAGUCCUUUUUUCAUCCUGACAUCCCUUGCUUGAAAGCUGUAGCUCACCUAUGAACCACCAAACACCUCACUUUAGGAUCAAACUAGGGCAUAUGAGACUGUAGCCGCUUACUUCAAUACUUGAUCUUUGAGUAAUGAAUUCAAUUAGCAAAAGCAAGGGCUGCAAAGCUGCUGGCUCAUUAAGCACUAAAGUCAUUCUUGUUAGUAGUGGUAUCGGUCUAAUAGACUAGUUAGUAGUUGCCCUUGUCCCGUUGCUUGUCGGGUUGGUUACCGGAAUCCUAUAAUAUUAGGUGGCUCAUUAUUCUGUUUCUUCUCUUUCAACUGAUCAAUAGGAAUAUGCUUACCCGACCCCAACAACUUGAAUUGCUGCUUCCUUAUUUCCAUGGGAUUAAAGUCAACCUGGAAUUUCUUUUAGUCAUUCUCAUUGAAAUUACUUAGUAUCUCCAUCAGUCCAGUGCAACCAUUAAAUAAGUCUGGGCCAGCCAGGUUGAAGCUACCCUAUCUCUAUAUUCUUAUUCGAACUCACGUGAGCACACCACGUUAGCACACCUCGCAACAAUAAUGAUUCUGUUUAUUCUGUUGCUUGCUUCCUUUCCUAACAAAACUCCUGACUUACUACUUUAACGAGUAGGCGCACCCCUCACAUAAGCGCAUUAGGUCCUUGUUCCCCGAGAAUAAGCGUAAGCGCACAACUCUAAAGAAAGAAUGGGAAUGGAAUAUAGCUAUACACAUAUUGUAUUGAGAUGGGGUAUAAAUGACUCUGAGAUAGGAGAACUCUGAGAUAGGAGAACUCUGAGAUAGGAGAACUCUGAGAUAGGAGAACUAUGAGAUAGGGUAACUCCGAGAUAGGGUAAAUGACUUUCCAGGACAACCAACCUCGGGUCGACCGCUGCAAGGGAAAGAAAAACACUAUUAAGUAGAAGGUAAAGCACGCAAAGGGGAAAGCUAACUCAAAACCUGUCUCUGACCCGGCUUCUAUUGUAAAUGAAUGACACUCUUGAAAUUCACUCCUGCCGCUAGUCAAUUGAAGGUUGGAAUGAAACUACCUCUAUCCCUUAACUAAACAAAUGGGUUCUCCUCCUUCCACUUUCCCACUACUUGAAGGGGCAAGAACUAGACUUGAAUAACAGACCUUGAACUAGACUAGCACUACUCCUUUAAGAAUUGAGUUAAGGAAACUACAGGGGAGAGGAAAGACAGAAAGAAAGUGAGGAUGUAAGACAGUUGCUCUACCCCAGACAGGGUAUCUAUUUCCUAUCUCUUACCGGACAGGCGAACACAGCACUUGUUUCUUGCACCGAGUCAAACAGCAAAGGAAUGCUUCUUUUGAACUGGUUGUUGCUAAGGUCGAAAACAGGUUCACAAUUGCUCCUCCUCUGACUCCCGUUAGUGCUUCCUUGCAAGUCAUAACUGCUUCCAAAGCUUCUGAUCUUGAAACAGCUUCAAUUCAAUCUACUGGCUCCCACCCCAGCCUUGACAUGCCAAAUCUUAUAUCCGUGGCUCUAAGCCUUGCUUACGCCCCCUAUCUAGUAGAGCGAAUUCGCAUAUUUAUAAAAAAGAGGAGUGACACUGCUGCUAACAAGGCUAUAGCUAGUGUAAACAAUACAAGUUUUCAUAAGUAGGGAUCCGUUUCAGUAGCAAUAGAUUUCUCUCUGGCAUUUCAACUCAUUACCAUAAGAAUCAUUAAUAUACUAAGGACUAUAAUGACACGGAGCUUCCCGAGCCUACCCUUGCAUACUUGCUUUCUGUACAGCUGAUCCGGAUCUUAGAUUGAGCAUAACUCUCCCGCUUCCAAACCUUUCUCUUGACCUCACUCCUGCUGUUCGAGUCUUAUAGUGGCCUAUUUCAUUGUGUAUCUGGAGUGUACUCCGGCCUUAGGCUUAAGGUGUUAAAGUAAAGGCUUGAAAUGCAUUAAAGCCCGAUUAGGAGUAUGCAAAGGCGUACACGCAGCAACACCAAAUAAGUGAUGUUCUCAUUCUCAUCAGUAGUAGUUAGUGGAAUACCCCUAGUUUCAUCCUAGUCUACAAGAGAAUCAGCAUCCUUAGAAUCAGAAGAAGCAGCUCGAGUGAAGUCGGCUAGUAUAGUCUCUUUUGCCGCCCGCUUUUGCUCCGAGUAGAGUUGCUUUCUGUUUGAGUGGAAUUGUAUUAAGAAGCCGAAUGCAAGUCAGUUGCAAGCGAAAAGUAAACCAGAGUUCAAGCAGAAGAUAGAAAGUAUAGUUCGACAAGAGAAGAACCAAGGUAAGGAGAAGAGGUCAGAGAAGUGAGAGAAGAAUCAAGAUCAUAAGUCGGGAGUUGGGAGUUAGGACGAGUUAUUAUGGAGUCUUGUUUGGGGGAUCUGCAAGCGGGAAAGAAAGUGAAGAGUAUGGUUGUUUGACUUUAAGCCGAGAAUCCGCAGUGCCAGUGAAAUCUAGGUUCGGUGCUAGUUUCAUCCUUUAGAGGAGAGUAAGGGCUCGAGGCUGUAAACCCAUAUUUCGAAUUCACAGAACUCACAAACCUAGUAUAAGAAUUCCACAACUUUCCUUGAAGCCGACACCACUGAGUCUGGGCCUAGACUACAUUUCUUCCCCUAACAGCUAGCCAGUACUUUCUUCUUCCCCAGAUCAAGUUUCUUACCUUAGAGUGGAAUUCCCACUUUCAAACUUCCAACUAGCCAAGUAGACAAGCCCGACAAGCUACUCUCAAUCUGGUGUUACAAAAGAAGCAAGCUACCAAAGGGUUUCCACGGCAUUCAGUAAAUUCUUAAGAAACUUCCUGGUGUGCUCUCCUCAGGUACUAUCCUCUGACUAUAGUAGUCUAUUUGAGUCACAGUAAAAUAAGAAUUCCUAACUUCAUUCGGUAUACCUCGACUCUUGCUCUUUGACUAUCUGAUUGCCCAGGCUGCUUAUAGGAGUUAUGAAAGUGCCCUGUGUCCCUAGUAGUAGAAUAGUGUAAUCCCCUGUUCCUUUUCUUGGUUAAUACCGGCCAAGUAACUACUAAUGUGUAGCGGCAGUUCCAUAGUACUGUUCUGUAUCGAAGUUGCUGUAAGUAAACACCAUUCUUUAGUAGGAACAGGCGAGGAAGCAAGGCAUCUUCACCAAAACCAGAGGUGGAGGGAGCCGGAGCAGAAUUAAGGUAUGGUUCGACAAGGAAAGCUGUUAGAGCCGAGCCAGUAGUUGUGGAGUUGAAUAUGAGCGGAGUGAUUGUGCUUGUUAAGUAUAGUAGUCCAGGUAGUCCCGGAGCUAAGGAUUCUGUUUCCUCAAUGGGCACUGCUUCUCUUGACUAAGAAUUGAACUAGUAGUAAGUAGUUAAGUAUUGCCUGUCGGCUUGGCCUAAGUAAGUAGUUUAUUGCCUGUCGGCUUGGCCGUUGCUUGGCGGUCAUUAUACUAAGCUUGUCCAGGACUAAGUUGUCCAUUUGUCGACUAGAAAGGCAAGUUGAAGUUUCAUCCGUUCACUAGUAGGAGUAGCGUAAGGGAAGGUCAGAAUAGAUUAAAGGAAAGGAAGACAUAAGUGGCUGAUUCAUUCUCCUUAGCAACAGCACCAGGACUUGUGAAACUAACUCUUACGUAAGCUGAAGACAGGACUCGGUAAUAACCUUUGGACUUGUCUUUUCCCUAUGCCUCUGUCUCUUAUACGUAUAUCUCUGGCUCAUAUAGUAAGUACUGGUAUGGCUCAUAUUGUAAGUACAGGUACUCUAUAGCUGUUAUGAAAGCUGGAUCAUAAGUAGGAGCGGGUAAAGGCUUUGUUGCGAGGCGAGUAAGCUAAGCUAUAAGUACGGAAGUCAAGAAUGGCUAUCAAACCCGGUAGUACUGGCUUCAUUCUGUUACUUAGUAGUUCCCGAACACAGGACUUGGUUUAUUACUGGCAAUGAAGUUAGCAGAGAAGAGUAAGAGGCGAGGGAAUCUUUUGUUGAAAUUGAAUUCUGCACUUCAAUACCAGAUUAGAGGNNNNNNNNNNNNNNNNNNNNNNNNNNNNNNNNNNNNNNNNNNNNNNNNNNNNNNNNNNNNNNNNNNNNNNNNNNNNNNNNNNNNNNNNNNNNNNNNNNNNNNNNNNNNNNNNNNNNNNNNNNNNNNNNNNNNNNNNNNNNNNNNNNNNNNNNNNNNNNNNNNNNNNNNNNNNNNNNNNNNNNNNNNNNNNNNNNNNNNNNNNNNNNNNNNNNNNNNNNNNNNNNNNNNNNNNNNNNNNNNNNNNGAAGGUUUCCAUAUCCUUUGUUGGCUUGGCCCACUCCUAUAUUAUAGAUUAUCUUUAUAUAGGUGAACGGAUGAAACUAGGGAACACCGGAGUCAGAAUGUAACUAAGGAGUGACAGAAUGAACCGGGUGUGUGAGCUAGUAGGAAGAUCAGAAUGCAGCCAGUGAAUCCAAGGCUUAAAGCAAGGGUAGCGAGACUACACCCAGUACUGCUCGGAAUGCGCCCACUGACAACCAGACUUCGACCGGGUAGACUCAGAAUGGAGCUAGUAGGUGUAAGGCGGAAGCUAGGUAUUACUGGUAUGGUCCUGUUGCAAUGAUCCUGCUGCAUCAGUAGUAGUAGCCCGAGUUUGAUUUUAGUCCAGUCCUGUUAGUGGGGAGGUUCUACCACUUAGUUGCAUUCUCACUUUGGAGUUGAGAGCGCAGGUGCUGUUUUCAUUGAGUUGGUCGUUAGUAAUAGCUUGCCCGGGUGCCGGUAAGAAUCCUUUACUUCUGCAGGGGGCUAAGUGGUCUAGGAUCUAAAGCUUAUUCAUUGCCUGUGAGAGUGGAGUCUAGCGUUAAGUCAUGCCAGGCAGUCCAGUAAGAGACCAACUCAUCAGGUAGAAUUACAGAAUUCCACUCAAAAGUAAGUAUCAGCAUCUAGGGCAAGAAAAGAGUUUACUUACCAGUCCUAUACUCAAGAAUGGAGUUGUUAGUUUACUUACCGGUAUUGCACUAUAGAAUUGAGUUGACUAAGUAGAGGCCAGGCCAGGAGAAUACUGUAAUUAAUGGAGUCAGAGUUGAGGUCGGCAAGGUCAGGGCUAAAUCUUAAUCAUGAGCUAGGUAUUCUAGUUGCCAGCAGGGUUCAAUGACUAGUAGAUGUAUCGGAGUUUAGGUAAGUAUGUAUUCUUUGUCUUAUAUGUAUUCUUAUCAUAUCUUAUAUGUAUUCUUUUCGUAGUUUAGUACCGGUGUAGUAGUGUAUUGAAGAACAUCAGAGUUUCUGACCGCUUCUUAUAAGUAUGUGCUCUUCUCUUUAUAUAGGACGUAAGACCUUGUGCUAACUAGGGUUAGGGCAAGAACGUUCACUGAUGGAAUUGCUUGAAUUGCUAGAGUUUACUUACAUGUAGUAGUCCUUUUGAAUCUGUAUUAGUUGACAUAGGUAUCGAAGCCAGAGAGGAGGAGAGACAGAGUGAAAAGUUCUCCUAUUCUAAUUGAUUCCGUUAAUUGUAUUUACUCUUUUCUAUACUAGGUGCCCCAAAGAAAGAAUGGAAUGGAAAACUGAACUAAUGAGUUUAGGUCUUGGCUUAGAGGACCAAGGAAAACAAAGAAUACUGAAUGAAACGAACAAGUAGGAAAGAGUGACUUCACACUGGUAUCUUCUCUGACUUCUAAUACUUAUACUGGAUCUGAAACUCCUAAUACAUACUUUUGACUAUGAAUGCGCAGGUGCCGGUAUUUCAUUCAACUCAUUACUACUGGGAUCCGAAUGAAGGUAUAAAAGAAAUGGAGUUAUAUGAGCCAGAGAAGAGAGAGGCAAGGGAACCUUCAAGGGAAGCUUUUGAGUCAGAAGGAGAGGCCGAAAACUGUGAAUAGUUGCCGAUAAGAGCAGGGUGAAAAGAGCCAGAGUUAGGGUUUAGGGUCAAGAGAUGAUAGGCUGUGAGAGUGAGAGUUUAAGACCAGUAGUAGUUGUAGUAUACGCAAGAGUAGAGUCGACUUGCCUAGUUUCUUGGCUGUUGCCUAGGAGCCGAAUGAAGUUAGUUACGGUAGCCAGCUGCUGGGAUUGUUUAAAGAAGUUACUAGGGGUCGGGUAGUCAAAAGAGAAACCCAUAGUUGUGACUUGGCUCUAAGCUUGGUGAAUCAAACUAAGGAGUCCAAGAAUGAAAUAAGGUAGUUACAGGCUAUAGCUACAUUUGCCUAGGAAGGGAGCGUGGUCGGUCAGAGUGAACUCCAGUAGUCAAAGAAUGAAUAUAGUUCCCCAUCUGCCGCAUCUAGUACUGAAGUAAAGAAUAGAACUGGUGCUGCUCAGCCUGAUAUUAGUGCAUCUAAGACCGACCCGAGUGACAGAACGAAACAAGCGAGUUACAGGCUUUAACUAGUCCACUGAUUCCCCGGAGAGAGACAGGGAGUCCACCGAUGACCUAGUAGAACUAAGCCUAGGAAUUGAGAGAGGGAGAGGUGAGCGAGUAGUUUACCAAUAAGAGAGGUGAGCUAGUAGUUUACCAAUAAGAGAGGUGAGCUAGUAGUAAAGUGAGAAUGAAAGUUGACUCUGGUACCUGAGUAAGGAGUGACACUUGUCUAGUAUACGCUUGCUUGGUGGACUCCAUAAGGGCACCGAACUAACUAACAUUAUGGGUUUAGUCCGUUAGUAGUUACUUGGCCGGAACUAAGACUUGAAUUACAGCUUCUACGCCCUUGUAUUAACUCUUGCUUAUUAGCUUCGAACUGCGACUAUUCUUUUCACUUAUAAUAAAGAGUCCAACCGAUGCUGAUGAGACUGCUACUGCUUUAUCUUAGCCUUACCUUCUUUGCUCUCGUUCUGUAACUACCGGUUAACUAGGAACUUGGAAUCAUAUCAAUACUAAUUCGAAUUGAACUACUACUGAUGAGACCUGCUACUAUUCCCUAUUAGUCUGACUCCCUUAUGCCCUAAGCCUUUCCCCUUUCGCUUUCGUUACUAAUACAUUUCUUUCAGAUAAAAACCUUUCACUGAAUUCUUUACUUCUAUGCUAUUGGUGUUAUAGCCGUUCUUAUGGGUCCUGUAGUGGAGACCAGUAUCCUAGCAACCGAUAACAAGAAGUCAAGCAAUUCCUACUAGAGAACGCUACUUUCAAUAUAGAACUUCCCCUCCUGUUAAUAAGACUGGGGCUGGUGCUUCUACUACUUGUUCCUCUAAUUAGGGAGUGAACUGCCGUUAACAAGAAUGCACUACUGCGCGAGUGGAUCAAACCAAUGAGAAAAGGAAUCAAACUAAUAAGUAAGGAUCAUCGUCAGAGGAACUAGAAUGGCAAGAAAGUUGGAAAGUAAGACAACAACUCAAAAGCGGGAACCAACCUCAUAAAUAGGAAUUCCUUUACUCCUUUGAAUACUUGAACUUGGGGCCAUUGGUUCUUCCCUAUCUCCAAUGAAGUAUUCCGUUUUCUCAUAUUCUAUUUUCUAUUGAUUUAUUAGGGUAUAAAAACGAGAGUGGUUUUCCGUGUUACUUAAGAUCUGUAGCUGGGGUGUAAAGCGCUAAUAACUCUUUCUUAUUAGUCUGAGUCAUUCUUCUAAGUAAACAACAUCUCCCCAGUGCCCCAAUCACUCUGAGUAGUCAGCACCAUUCUUCUAAGUAAAAAGCAUUAUUGGUAGUCACAUCAUUCUUAUUAGUAUUAAAAACAGGCACUCGUUAGCUGCAUUCCCAUUCUCUUGUUUUAGUAUGCUUUCAUUCCCGGUAGUUGCUAAGUAGUUGCUGAUCUACCAGUUGCUUCUGCUGAUACUGACUUAUGAGUUUCAUUCCCACUUUAGUAUACGCUUGGCUUGUUUCCUUACCUGGCUUCUUUCUUUGAUUGUCCGGUAGAGUGGAUUCCUUCCCUCGAUCUGGUCUUCUUUAACAAUCUGAUCUUUCACUUUAUUAUAUUAUGCUAUUAGAUUGGGGAUCCUAGGUGGGAAAUAGCAAUAGCCAAGUGGUGCAGGACAAAGAGUAGUGGAACAGACUCAUGCCUUAGCCCCUUUGCUACGGUUCUGGCCUAGAAAUAGUCCAAUCGAUUUUCAUUGACCAAGCCUUAUAGGGAAAAGGCAGCUCCUGCUCUUGGUCCCCAGGGAAAAUGGGGUUACAAAGAGGAUACAGUUUCACGGCUCCUCGCUCGUGGGUACCGCUCAUUUCAUUGUUGGAAGUUUGGAUUCUUUAUAUUCAAUGGUUAUUAGUUGUUUUGGUUCUUUCUGCUUGGUAUAUUAACUCAGUGUCGUGCUUUAGCCGAGCCGUUUCAGUGGGUUCCACCAUUGAGCUAUUAGGUUAUGCCCCCCUCCUAAGUAAGGGGAGUUCUGCACAAGAGAAGAGGCACAUCAAACCUUCCCCAGUACUGAUCGAUGCCAAGUCGAAUAAAGUGAUCACUAGUUUGCGAAGCUACUAAGAACCGAUCGGCUGCUCUUUCCGCGAUGAAACCCGUCGAAGCAACCGGAGGGGGCGCUCCCCCAGUCUUAACUAUAACAAAGGGCUUUUGCUUAAGAGAGUACCAAGGACUCGGCAGGCGAGCCUACACAACUACCUUAACCAACCUGUCCUGAAUUGAACCUAUCUUUUGGUCAAAUGUAGAAUAAUAGAUUUCCGCUCACCUCGUGUACCUAUCUAUUCCUCUUCCUCGAGCCGAAUAACGUCUUUCAGAGCCUAGUCCUGUACGGCGUUGACUCUCUCUUUCCCGUUCGUCUGAGAUCCCGCUCGUUCCCGUCUUUCUAUUCAGUCCCAUCAAGUUGCCUUCUAUCUAAGAUGGUAGGUUCAAACCAUCCUGUUUGAGUGCUAGCUUCCAUUGCUAUUGUAAAGCUAGUUUCUGUGUUUUUUACAGAUGAAGUGGAUUUGCUUUGCUAUCGGUCUCGGCCAGUUGAAAGCUAUCUAGUUGAAAACCGGGGUAAGAUUAAGGGGUUGUCCCCCAUUUCCCUUCAUAAAGCCAUAUCCUAGGGUAUUUAGCAUGAUCUAUCUCUAGACCAUUUGCCCUUCCUUCUGAUCGGGUUCCGCUUGUAAUAAAGAUCAUUGUUGAUAGCGCCUCGUAACACCUCCUAUCGUCCCAAUGCCUGUUGGAGUGCCAUUGCUAAUUCAGAGGUAUAUAGUGGUAAGCUAAUAACAUUCAUUUUCAGUAAUCAAACACAGAGGUAAAUACGGAAUGGAGUUUCACCCACUAAUCAAAGAAGUGCAGAAUUGAACUACCAAGGUAAAUGAGUUCGAGCGCAGAAAGAUUGGAAAGAGCGCAUGCUCCUGCUGAUUCAUAUGAGAGAGUAGACUUUGCACUUGCAACUGACUUGCAUUCGCGUGUAGAUAACACUGAUUGUCCCGACGAUGAAACUGAUUGUACCGCUCUGCUUACCGAAACACCUCUGAUUCUUAAUAGGGUAUGAUAGGAUUCCACUCCAACGGAAAGAGACUAUAAGCCAAGAACUAUCACUGGCACUGACCCGGAAAUUGACCCUGCUUCUUGACUUUCCACUACUAGAAGCAUCCAGAUAGUGACUUAGUGACUCGAGUUCUUGUAUAGAAAUCCUAUUUGUAACCAGACAUCUAUUAUACUCUCUUUGGGCACUUACAGAGUUCACCUUAUAUCUAACUUAUGGAAUGAAAGUCAGCUGGAAACAGAAUAGAAUCCGUUCUUGUUAAGUCAACGACAUAAGAAGCAACAUAUGGUGAGUAACCGGGAGAUAGAGUAGGCUCUGGAUCAUAAGUGUGAGUUGAAAGAUAAGGAGUCGGAGAAGAAACUGUUGAAACAGAGACAGGAGCCAGAAAAGUAUUCGAAUCGGGAAGUUCUGUUUUGUUCGAGCAAAGGUCGUAGAGAUCAUAAACUGGGUCAUAAUUCUGAAAGUAGUCGUAGGAGUGCCUCAUUAUUAAAGGAAGCUGUGCUGUCAUUUACAAUAGAAGAAGCAUUAGAGUGUUGUCUCGUGGAGAAUGCCCUGACCGAUGUAGCUCAAAGUAGUGGAGUGAGGGAUGCGCGUAAGGGAGCAAGAGUCGAGGCGAGAUAUUCUAUUAAUGAAUGAUGAUGAAGACAGUUUACACUGCAAUUCCUUACAUUUAAACAAGCUUCGGGAACAAGUAGAAACUUAGAUAACACGGUACCGGUGUCCACGCCUCUUUGCCUCUGUCCAAGUUAUUUGUAUAGGGCCUGCAAGAAAGGGUAUCUCCACUGAAGCUUUGGAUUUGGAUUCACAAACUCGCUAACGUAACGCACAAGGGCUUACUCUAACUAAAGAAUCUCUUUGAGUGCACUGAUUGACGAAGGUAUCCUGGCAAAGCAACCCUUCUGAUCACUUGCACUUGAGACGUAAUCAUGGAAUUGAAUCUCUCUUGCACUAGAUCUAAAUAAAGAUACAGAACGUACAAUCACUUAUGGAACGAACAAGACUUGAAGAUCCUAUUCCGACUCCGGAUCCUGAGUAUUCUAUUGAAACGACUUCUUCUACGAGUUUUCCUCGGCGCAAAGAAAGAUGAAGCGUUUGUUGAGGAAAUUCAUUGAUUAUAUAAGUCUAUAUAUAAAGAGAUAUAUUCCUUUCCUAGUUUUCCUUUUUGACAAGGUGAAAGAGAUAUUCCAUUCAAGGUAAGCCAAGCCCGUUGGAACUCGAAUAACCGACAACACCCGAACAACCUACAACUUAUGGAACAAUACUUUUACCACAUCAAAAGCACAAAGAGACUCCGCAGACUAUAACGGGACUAUCACAGCUGGUAAUCCGGCUUCAUUCCCUAAGUUUCCGCCAAGGUAAGAAACAACUUAUAUAUAUUUUGUUGGAAAGACACACCUUGUUGGAAAGACACACACACCCCGUACCGUCAGGCUCUUAUACGGCAUUGACGCCUCUAAUCUUUGCCCGGUUCCUCCACUUAUUUAUGCCCUUCCCUCCAGUGGAUUGGUUGGUGCCUUUGCUCUUGUUGAAGAGAGCGUUCCAAAUAGAGAAAUUAGUCAUAUAUCACCUCCGCUAACUCAUUUAUGGCUUUUGAUUCGAACUCAUUAGCGCACCCGCUCCAUACUUGACUUGAACAAUAGGGGGAGUAGGACCAGAAAUAGGGGUUUCUCUUAAACCUUACCUUACCCGAGUUGAUGUUCUUGAUACCUGCUUGAGACCUGACUUUAUACUUUAGACGAGACUUCUCCAGCACUCAAAACUAAGUAGGGAGAGUUGGGCUGGGCUACAUAAUCCAGAUCAAAGGGAUACUUCUCCUUUUUGUCUCGCUCUAGCAAGUAGGUUCGAUUCAAGUGCUUGUGUCUAAGGGUAGCUCUUUGUCGUGGAGUUCUAGUUUGUGGAGUUCCCCUAUCUGCUCUCGUGGUGCUAAUGCGCUUAUUAGAGUAGUGAGUCGAUUCAGUGAGGUGAGCGUUGGUAAUUAAUCGUUUCACCCAUGUUUCAACUUCAAGAAUGGCCGGAGUGAUGAAAAACAGAGCGCUCCACUCGAAAAGCUGUUAGAUAGGUAAGUCAAAAGUGUUUCUAUACCUCUAUAACAUACCAUGUGCUCGCUAUACAAUGUGCGAGAGAGAUUCCAUUCUUUGAGGAGAGUAAGGGCAGGAGUGAAGUCAGGAGUCAGUUGAAGCAAAAGGUAAGCAAUGCGGUUAGUUUGUUUCUUAUUUGUGCAAAGCCACUCUCCAGGACAACCUCUGGCGCAAGGGAAGAAAGAAAGAAAGCUAGAGAAUAUGCGAGUAGGUAAAGAAGCUGGAUCUAAAGAAUCAUCAAGAUCAGGAAAAGAGGCUGUUUUUGUUGAAAGAGAAUCCGCUGGCUAAGGUGUUUCAACAGAUUCGAUAGUUACUGCUGGCUCUGGCUCUAGGCUUCUACUGUUUACGAUCAGGUUAUUAUUUCAAUAUCUCUCUUUUAGUCCCUUGCUCUUGUCUGCCCGCCGACACUUCCCGCUUCAUUCUCUCUUUGAUGUUAUGAAAUUGCUUUUGCUUAUUCAUUAUUAAUAUAUUAAUUCAGAAAUGUGUUGUAUUAAUUCAGCUUACUUAUAUUAAGAUGGCUGAAACGCUGCCUAGCGAGAGAAUCCCAACUAACCACUCUGAGAAUUGAACUGGUGCCUCUCCUACCUUAACUGAAGGACACGAAUCAAACUACUCCUCCUAUUACUUAAACUAAGAACUCGGGAUUACAAGACUCAAUAUUAGACUUUAGUUGCAGCUAACGAGGGUGAAAUCACUGCAUACAAGAAGAGACCAGUCCCCGGGAGAGACUGGAAUCGCUACUAAUAGGGCUACAGCUAGGAACUGGGGAACGAGCUAUUAACCACUGAACUCCACUCCCAAAAGAGAGACUAGAACCGCAGCUUCCGGGGCUGUUACUACUGAGUUGGAUUCUGAUCCUAUGUAUCCUUGCAGCUGGGUAGUUAGAGUAUCCUUUUACAGGUGUAUCCCGAACUCCACAGUUGAUACAGCCCCACAUUCUUUUACUUAUUACUCAUAUCCGGACUUCCGUAUUUGAUUCUUGGAAGUAGACCCAGGGGAUCCCCUUACUUAGACUUCUAUAGAGUGAUGGAACACUUAACCAAGAGAAUUGGAAUGAGGAACCCUCGAGUGAAAAACAAACGAGGCUUAAAGACAUGAGCAGCGGACCCAGACAAGUAACUAAAAGCAUUAAAGGGCGAGGAAGGGUUUCUUUUUGAGAUAUAGUAUUCUAAGAAUUGGAGUUAGGUGUAAGGACCUGAUCCAAAGGAAUGCCAGGCUCGAGCUCAAGCUAACAGAUUAGAGAUCUGAACACAGGGUCUAGGCCUGUUAUAGUGGAAAUAUAGAAUGCAAAGGACAACCAGAAGACUAACUACCCGACAACAAAGGGAGUGGCGUAAGCGAAUGGUAAUCUAGGGUCAAGGUAGGGAAUGAGCGGUACUACUAUCAGAAUUGGGCAUUAGAGGUGUGACUCAGAUCAACCCCAUAAGAAUCAAUAAAGAAACUACCUUACUACAAAUAAGGGGUGAAAGCGAGCCCAAUAGGUUAACAUACAGGUUUCAGGACUGCAAAGUAAGCCUAAAACAAAGAAAGUCAGCCUGUUAGGUAAGGCGUGGACUGCCCCGGGGUGAUUCAUAAGGCUUGUCUUCCUUAGUUUCUGCUUUUUGAUAGGAAUAAGCAAUAGAAUGGGCUGUUGGAUUCCUUUUCUCAUUGUUUGGAUCCCUUGUUUCUUGUUAUCGUAGUAGAAGCAUUGGUUCCAUUCUUAACAGUACAGUAGCGGUGUCAGUUUCAAAUACUUAUAAUAGAAACGAUCUGUAGGCUUUCAGCACCUUCUUAUAAGUCAAAGCAUGAGUAGCACUGGUGCAAUUAUUGGUAGUAGCCGAUGUGAUAUCCGUCUUAGAAGUAGGAGUCCUAGAACCAAAGUAAGGGAAGCAAGAUUGAUAGGUUCAAAUCAGAAUCUCGGAUAGGAGGGACAGCUUUUAGUUCAAUGGCUAAAAGAUCCGGGGGUCGGUGGCUAUAGCCUUCAAUUAAGUAGUUGGUUCCCUAUCUAUGGUUCCAAACCUUGUUCUACUGGCUAUCAGGCUAGCUAUACCGAUCUCACAUCUUACACCCCUUACUAAUUCUUUGACUUUAUGAGGUGAUUUCUUAUCUUGUAGGGAGCUAUAGCUCAUUCUGACUUCUGAUAGAAACUCUUCUGUUGUAUAGCUUAGGUCUUUCUUCUACUUACGAGUGCAAUGCCUAUUAUGCUCGGGUGUUAGGCUAUUACUCCUUACUUCAAGGCUUGCGGGUAGGUUUGCAUUUAUUAGAUGGGCAUUAAGUAGUUCAAAACUGCCUCUCCUUAUGUAAAGUAUACCGCUACUGACUUUGAUUCUUCAAUUGCUUAUAAAUUGUCGUAUUAGAUUGGAUUAGGAACUCGGGCUUUCACCGCUGACUUGGAUUCUUUAGCUGCGGAUUUCGAUCCUUACUCCUCUUCUUUUGAUUCUAAUACCUAUGUAGUUGAGUUGGAUCUCAUAGGGUAGUAGCGCAUUCCCAUAGUUUAGAGUUAAGGCCUUGUUGCGGCGGAGUUCAAUCAGGUCUUUCUUCCCUUGUAGUGGUAUUUUGAUCUAUCGGGCAGUUUCGUUUGGAAUGAAAUAAUCGGGGGUGUAGUUAAGUUCUCAAGUAAUAUAGUGCCUGUCAGGCAGGGUACAAUAAACACUCUGGAAAUAUGGAAUUCUACUAAAUAGUCAAGUAAUGAGAGCGGAGCGAGGGGAGUCAGAUUGACUACUUGUCAAGUUCAUUAUGAUUUGUAUGGGUUUCAUUCCGAUAGUACUAAGUUGGUAGUAGGCUAACAAUCACACAUAGGCAUUGUGAAGGGACAGCUAUAGGCAUUGCAGGGACAACUCCAAGAGUGAAAUAGCCAGCUAGGAGUUUCAGCCUACAACUAAAGGAAAUAAAUAAGUCAGUAGAAACCCGGAACUAACAAGACUCUAGGACAGGGGUUAUAGUUGGAAUCAAUAGAUAGGUUCUUGAGAUAGGCAGAGGCAUACUUCAACUUAGAGAGCGGGAAUGCCAGGAACAGGUCUUCAGGGCCUAAGAGUUUUGACGAGGAAUAAGAAUCUAGUAGUUCCAUAAAGAAUGGAAGGUAAGAUAGGCAGGCUCAUAUCCAAAGUUAGGUGUGCAGGGUUGGUUCGGAGGUGAGGUAGAUUUUGUAAAUGACAAAUAAUUCUGGUACAAGCACAUAGGAAUUGGUUUAAGGGAAUUCUAGUUUGAUAGCUAGGUUAGAUAUACUACUUCUCUGGUAGGCGGAUAUUUAGGUUUCAAGCAAGGGAGUAAUAAUAGGAGUGUAAGGGAGACAGCUUAGUGCCCCGGAGAGCUAGUCCUAUUUCUUUGUUUGAUUCUUUCUAUCAGCAGUUUCCCGUCUUAGAAGCACUGGUUGUUGUCCGAUCUCUCGCUCCCCGGCCCCAUUCUGAUGAUUAGCGCUAUUAUUCUCUUAUUUUGGGCAAUCCGCUAUUAUUCUAUGACUAGAUGCACUUACUUAUAGGCUUACUUUACGGGCAACCAUACAACUCUUCGAAUACACCUACGACUAACAAGGCGGUAGCUCUCAAACUGUAAUUGAGCCCAAACACCACUGCUAAUAAUAAAAAACACCGAAGACAGGCAAGCAUGCAAGGGACAGGACUAAUCUAUUUCUUUUGAAAGUCAGAAUCUCUCUUUUUUGCGCUAAGUGAGAAUAUCCACUCCAAAGUAGAAACCCUAAGCUAAGGCACUAAACUAAAGCAGAGGACCUAAACAAAGAAGUCGUCUGUCAUUCCUUGACUACAGUAUUUAUUGAAACUAGUAGCCUGUAGCUCAUAACUCCCGAACUUACCUCUUGGGGCACUAAUAUCAAAUAAACCCCCAUUCCUCCUGUCUUAAGGAAGAAAACUCAUAACUACCAAACUACCGCUCCCGUCUUUCGCUCUGUAGUAGUAGCUUCGACCUUUACCCUUGCACUAGUCCACUCCUUCUUAAAGUCUGCUUUUCCUUUUGAUUAAUCUGGCACUCUUUAUAGGCAUUCUUGACUUGUCACUAUCAGGACUAGAUUCCUUUCUUUUAGCCUUACCUAAUGGCCAACUAAUCUUACCUGCCCGGUUCUAACUCUUCCCCCACAACUUACCAAACGAAAACUACUAACUGGCUCUUUCGCUCUUGGGACUUGAGUUGGUCUCUUCCACCUACAAAUAUCAGAAUCAAGGCCCCGCAACUACUAACAAUAGAUUUCAGUAAAUAACCGACUCUUCUCUUAUUCUAUCUUAUGCUUCUAAUCUUGUUUAUUCUACAACUCCGACUUAUUAGCUUGAUCGCCAAAAUACGGACUUGCUCUUAACUCAACAAAUACUUACGGAAAUGAAUCUAGCUCUAGCUGAAGCAAAAAAGAGAACAUUGAAUCAGGUAACUCACUGACGCUAGAACACACACAGGACUUUUGAGAACUCUACGGAAUUAGGACUUGCUCAUUGUCUAGUAGUUACUUGGCGUCUGCUUGUCGGCUUGUCUACUUGUCGGACUUGAAACUGUAUACUUUGACCUCGAGACAAUGGAUGGAAAUGAAUUCUUUGUUGACUUUACAAGGCGAUCGAAAGGUUCAGCUAACGUUGGGGCAAUUCCUAUGUUCUCCUAUGUUCUAUUUAAAAGAUAGAGAUUCGGCUGUUCUAGUUUCAUCUUAUAAAGAAGCAGGGUGAAUUAGGUCUACUUGUUCUGUUGUUGGCUCUAAGUCGGCAUCGACAAGAUCUGAAGCGGAUCAAUGAAAUUCCAGUCGAGAAUCUCUUGGGCUUGGGGUAGCUUUAGAAGCAAGUAAACAAGAAGCAGAACCAGUUGAAAGCUUUUAAUGGAAAGGGAAGAAACGGAAGAAUGUGAGUUCCCCGAUAGGUAUGAGAUUGUUACCCGCUCUGUUUAAUAGAUAUAAGUAAACACCCCUGUGCUCCAUCUCUCUAGAGAGAAGUAAAAACCCCUGUGCUCCAUCUCUCAUAAGUUAGAAUUGAACUAAUAACUAUAAGAAUGGAAACCAUCAAUGAAAACUUGACUCGUUAAUAGCUCGUGUUGAAGCAAGUGAUGAAGUGUAGUUUGGGACAGAAAGUGUAGUUUGAGAUGCAGGAUCUUUCUCUUUAUCAUCAGCUGGAGCAGGAUAGUCUCUUUGUGCUGGCGAUGGGUCUAUUUCAGUUCCUCACUCAACAGAUCUAGCUCCUGCGGAUUAUGCUUCUCUUGCGCACUGCUUUAUAUAUUGAUUUGGAUUCGGCAACUGCUCCUACUCCUGCUUUGCUUCAUCUACUGAUCUGGUUUACUUAACAAGAACGGAAAGCCAAUGGAACCGAUACACGGCCCUAAACGGAUACCUGAACUCCGACUCUUAACUGUCCUAAGAAUUAAUUGAAUCUCCUUCUUCUCUUGUGCCGAGUCAAACUGUAAUGGAAUCUUUUGAUUCGGUUUAUGGAACUCCACCAGCUACAGGGGGACAACACCUUAUACAACUUUGAGCUAAAGCCUACUUAUACUUAACCGUUACGUCGACUUCUUCCGAUCCGGCAUCAGAUCUUUAUUCAUCUCUAGCAUCUUAUCUCUAGUGAACGAGUCCUGUGUGCGCUGGUCAUAUGGGUUGCAUUCUUAUACUGAAUAGUGGAAUUCUUACCUGCUGGCUUGGUUUGGCUUUGUAAGCUAUGAAAGUCUAGUUAUUGCCCCAACUAGUAUACGAGUAGUUUCAUCAGUAGUAUACGCUCGGUCAUAACCUGUUCUUGAGUACCCGGACUUUAUUCUGACUCCAGUAUUGAGUUAUAUUAAAUACUGAUACCUGAGUAAGGAGUGAGUUUCAUUCAGAUUAGUAGAAGUAGAGAGGUCGGGUACCAAUACUAGAGUUGAGGUCUAAGUUAAGUCCCAUCCCAUACUAUUUCCCCAUUUGCAACCAAAAAUCCCGGGGCCAAACAACUACUAAUGUUGUGCGGCAGCAAGUAAUAGUCAUAACAGAGUUAUUACAAGUCCUGUGUUCGCGUCAAAUUGUGAUUUCCAUAAGGUCACUCAGGAGGGAAAUUGUCAGUGCUACCAAAAAACACGGGUUUCGUCAAAAAAGGAAGAUACAUCGAACCCUUUAGGAGGGAGAAUGCCCAUGCUAUCCAAAAUCCCCGGGUUUCGUCCAAAAUGAAUGACUUGGGGACCUAGCUAGCAGGGGAAAUCUUGUUGCAGCCUUUUUUCCCGGGUUUCUUAAAAAGUAGCAUUCCUUUUUGGUUCGAUAGGAGGGCAAAUCACUUCACUGCCUUUUUUGCCGGGUUUUGGUGAAGUGGAAUUACUUGUUUACUGACUUGGCGGGUAGGUUUGGAAUGAAGUGACUAGGCUCGGCAGGUUGACUGACUUGCUUGUUUGUUGCAGGUUUACUGACUUGCUUGUUAGGGUGGUAAACUGACUUGCUUGUUAGGCUGUUGACUGACUUUGUGAGGCAGGGAGAGUUUCAUCUGUAUUAGUUGGGUCUUGCAAGGGAAGUGUACUAUUACCCAUAGGUAUGAGAAGCAGAACUCACAGAAGCUUACUUGCGGAAUUAAUAUAUAAUAAUAUCCGUAACUAAGGUAAGAAAGAGAAUGCCCAGUGCCCCAAUCCAAUGUUCCUUUGCAUUUAUUAAUCCUUCUAGCUGCCUUAAGCCUUUGCAUUUAUUAAUCCUUCUAGCUGCCUUAAGCAAUGCUUUAGAGUAAUUGAUUCUCCCGAUAGUCCACAAGCUAAGAUAUUAAUGACGAGGAAGGCUUGCUAUGCUACUACAAAGCAAAGAAUAGGCACCGAAAUGAAUGGACACCUUAUCUUAUCUCUGGAUAGUUUGCAGUGGCCUCUACAGUGGAAAUAGAAUAGUCAAAGCGAAGUCCGUUUUCAUUUCACUCUUCUUCAUGCUAUCGAUCCCGAAUCUUUCGAUUCCUAAAACAAGCAAGUAAGCAGAUACUCAAUAGUGGAAAGUGCAUCCCUUGAAGUUAAGAAAGAAAAGGCGAAUGAAUCCGCGCUUCCCGAUACGGCAUGCUGCUAGCUGGUUGAAACUAAACUAAUAUAUCCCCCUCCCCGCCGCAAGCUAAGAUAUUGAAACAGUCGAUUCAGGGGUAGAGAGAAGUAUCAAGGGGUGUAAUCCUUGGUUGGUAUUUGAUCACUAGUAAGUUCUACUAUAUAGGGAAAAGAGUAACUAGUAGGUUAUACAAUAGAGGAGAAAUAGAUUGCUUUGCUUCGGCUUGGAACCUCCACGUGCUACCUACAACCUAUUGGUCUCAAAUACGGGUUUUUUUCGCUUUAGUUGAUUGGACAACCGGCCUUAAGGGCGCAGAUCUAUCCUUCUCUCAUUGGGAAGGAGAAGGGACUAUUGCAAUCCUCGACAGGCUUUCCUCAACAAACAGGCUAAUAAGCUUUCUUUCCCUCAUUUGGCAGUUGCUUUAAUUCCUUUAUUUGGAUGACCAGUCGCUUUCUUUCCCUAACCAUUGAAUAUCGGCAUCCCGAACCGAACUCUCUACCACUACUGAGAAGAAUAAGGGAUCUACUAACUGAGAAGAAUAAGGGAUCUACUAACUGGGCCAAUCUGAAUGAAGUUAUAGGAGCAGAGGUAGAUUAGCCUCAUUCAGGUAUCAGAGUUAGAGGAGAAGAAUGCAGUUCAUAGUAGGAAAGUAGUAGUUACAGAAUCCAACUAAGUGGGUCAAAACCCAGCUACUAGAGCAACAAAUACAGAAUGAACCAAGGAAGUGAAAGAAUGGAACCCAACCAUAGGAAGUGAGAAUUGGACUCGUUAAGUAGAAGCCUUAAAGCAGUGACAGGUGCUCCUUCUCUCAACCAGCGAGUGAAAGUCCAAGAAUGCAAGCAGUAAGUCCAAGAAUGAAAGAAAGGGUAACAGGGCAUUGAACUCAUCAGACAUAGAAUUCCACCGAUACUACUCAGAAUUGACCUAGGUAGUCAAAGAAUGCAGCUCACACCAACCAGGCUGAACCGAGGCAGUGAUAGAACGAAGCAAAGCCGACUAAGAAUUCAACUCAUCGGUGAGCUAGGUGAGCUAGGGUAGUAAGUGAGAAUGAAACCAGUCAGUGGAAGUGUUUCCUCUGCCUUUGUCCUGUGUUCGGGUACUACUACUGCUACUGAGUGGUUGUUUGCCUACUGAUUUACUAACAUCGGUGCAUUUACAGCUAUUGGAAAGAGUGGAACUAGUGCUUUACAGGCUCUCUAAACACCCGACCUAUCUACUUCGAUAAAAGAAAAGAAUGGAAUUGAAGACUACCUGCUACACACCGAGCUUACCCGAUACACCGAGCUUACCCGCUACACCGAGCUUACCCGAUACACCUUAUAGUAUAGGGAACUUUGUUGACUUCUAUAUCGGGAAUUACUGAGAUGUUCAGUUUCCGUAGGUGAUUGUGUCGGUUCUUCAAGUCGAGUAGAGGUUGGCAAAAGGUAAGUAUUGCAAGGAAAGUUUACGACUUAAUAGUGAAAGAGAAAGAUCCUACUGGAACUCUCUGUACUGAAGCUGAAGUCUCGUAUCUGAGUGUAGAAGGCAAGGCCAGGCAAUUCAAUGAAGUGAGAAUGUAAUCUACAAUAGAAUCAUAGGCUAAAGCAUCAGCUAGAGAAUAAUAAUAGGAUUUGAAAGGAUCUGUUGCUUCUUCACUUGUUGGAAAAGAAAGUAUAGUGUGAGUUGAAAGAUCAGGCGAGGAAUAAUUGACUGGCGGAGAAGCAUAAACAAGACUAAGUGCUCUAAGGCAAGUUCUUCGAUUUGUGCUAACGUUAAGUGAGUUAGUUCCUUUUUUGUCAACGAGAUCUGCAGCAAUGCGAAAGUAAGUUGUCGAUGUAGUUAUCCGUGUUGUCGACUUGAUAGGUUCUUUAUUGGCUUGAUUGGUUUGAUUACCUUUACUUGGAAAUAAACCUUCUUCUACGUAAGGUGGUUCUGCGCUCUACAUCUGGAUCUGGCGUUCCUGCCUAAAACUAGAAACUCAAGAAAGAAGAUUGUGUUCAAGCUUAUAACUCUCAAGAUGAUGUUGAAAUAAGAUCAGGAGCUGGCUACGAUAUAGAAUCAUAGGCUCAAGCAUAGUCCGGAUCUGAAGCUGAAGAAGGAAAGUGGAGUUCCGGGAUAGAAUAUUUGGCUGCUAUCCCCCCGAUCUGAUAGACUUCAAUCUUUUCCUGGUGGGACCCUACGCUAAUUUCAUUCCUGUUUGAUCGGCUAAUGCGAGGUCGGGCAAGACAAUCCUUGUAGUUCCGGUUGGGCAAGCCUAAAUAAGUAAGGGCAGUGGAAUCAGUAGUAGCAGCAAGCGGGGUAGUAUAUAAGUCAGAAGUUGACAAGUGGGGGUCCUGUUUCAAAAGAGACUGUUCGAGUGAUAGGAAUUGUGAGCCUACCUUUAAGGAUUGCUAGUAGAAGUAUAAGACUCAGAAUGAAACUCCGUAGUAACAGUAUCGGUCGGCAGGGCAAUAACAAGUGCUAACUGGUUUACUGACUUAGUUGACUUACUUGUUUCAUGAAGUGACUAGGCUAGGCUGGAAGUUACUUGUUAUGAAGUCUUUUACUAGGCCAGCAUCUAGACUAGUGGAAUUAGUUGCAUCCCCAUAUUCCCUUGUUGCAUCCUAGUCUCCCAGAGAAGAGUCAUCGGCAGGAUCAGUAUCAAUAUAAGUAGUAGCUUGGCAGUUGCCAGAGCCCGGAUAGCAAGUAGUAGUCCCAGCAUUAAGGUGAAGGUAAGGCUUAAGAGGAGAGGUGAGUCAGUAGGAAAGUGAGAAUGAAAGUUCACUGGUCAGAAAUCAACUAGUAAGUAGAAGGCUUAGGAAGGUAAGAAAGAAACCAGUAAGUAGAAGGAUCAGACUCAGUUUCAAGAUCAUAAGCUAGAUUAGGGGUUCGCGCUUCAGCUGUAAUUUCAAGUCGAGUUAGGGAUGCGAUAACGGGAGCAAGAGACGAGCCUAGAGAUUCAAUCAAUUCUGAAGCGUUAAGUAUUGCCAGGCCCAGACUCAGGAGUAGGAAAGUCUAAGUCGUACGAGAGCAUAAAAGUUGGGUUCUGUCCUUUACCCCUGCACUAGAUGGCCUUCCCGCUCACUCACCAGGGGGCGCAUAUAACGCAUAAGUUUGGUCAAUAUGGAAAUUGGAGAUAUCAAUUCCAUUCUUAUAUACUAGCUUCUUUCUACUGUUCCUUCCGUGUUUCACUUCCUUCUACUGUUCCUUUUAAGGAGCUCAAUCCUAUGAUUCUGAUUACAAAUAGUCUUCCUCAAUACCAUGAUUAAUGCUAAAGUAAGCGCUAAGUCAAUCAUACGCGUUGGUUCCUACGAGUGUUAAGAUAGAUUCUUAUGUCGGCGAUGUAGCUCCUUAUCGGCCACCGGUUCUUUUGUUGUCGACUCGAUAAGGUGCUGUUUCAAGAGCAGAUGCUGUAUUUGAAGCUAAUAAUUAGGGAAUAACAGAAGUUAGUGCAAGUAAAAGGUGCAAAUGCAAAAGUGUGUAUAGAUUUGAGUCAUCUUAUUUCAUUAUAUGGAAUCUCGGUGUUGGCGCAGCUGCCCGCUCAAAGUACUUUCUACAAGUUCAAGAAACAAGCUUUGUAUAAUAUGUAUAGCGUUAGCCGAGUUUGUUGCUUGUUCCCUUGCUUUAAGAGAGCGUAACCCAAUCUCAUUCUGCUGGAAUACGAGAGUUCUCUAUAAGGCCUCCGCCCGUCCUUUCGCCUUUGUUUAUGAGUUUAGCGCAUACUACUAUGGAAUACGAGUACUACCAAUAAGAGUGGAGCUAGUAAGUAGAAGCCUAAGACCUCCUUCCACGUAUACAGAAUUGACCUAAGCAGUUUCAGAGUGAAACCCGACAAAGACAUCUUCAAUCUGGAAGGUGGAAAACAGACGAAAAGAAUGAAGGGAGAAAACCAUCGAACAGGAGUAGUGAGUUGGCAUAUGUAUUAAUUCUGCAGUGAAAGGUAGAAAGGUAGAGAACAAGAGUGGUCAGCAGAGCAGGAGUUUAGAGUUUACAGAGUGAGAUUAGCAAGAGAAGAAGAAAGAUCCGGGUCUUGUAUAGAAACAUCGGUAAUCUUACCAACUUAUGCCCAUCAAACUAAAGAAAGUGUUGUUUUAGUGCUUUUUCGUAUAUACCUGUUUAUAGCUCCCGCCUGGUGGUAUUAUAGAUGAUAGGCUGUUCUGGUUGAAUCCGUUCUCCUACUGGUGGUACUACCCCUGUGACUGUUGGAGUUAGAGGCCAAACAACUACUAGACGCCAAGGCACUGGGCAAGUAACUACUAACGUUACGCGGCAGCAAUAAGAAGUAUGUUAUGACGUAGUUAUAACAAUUCCUUUGUUCGGGUGCCGCGGCAGGAGCUGUUGGGCUAAUGUGUAGCGUCAGCGAGCUAAAAGAGCGGCAGGGCUGUUCCCCCGGUCCCUUAUGAUUAUUAGUAGGAAUGCCGGAGUGGAAGAUUAGGUAGUAAUGCCUGAGUGGAAGAUUCGGUUUCAUACCAGGUAAUUGAAUGAAAGAAUGAAACCAGUAAGUAGAAGCCUUUGAAGCAAGGUUUAGUGGAAGUAGUAAAGUGGGAGUUACAGAAUUGACCUCAGCAGUCCUCGGGCACUUAUUAGAGUGCGGGUCGGGGUUCGUUCCUAUUGCCUAGUUAAGGGGUAUGUAGAAUUCCUAUACAUGGAUUAGAUGCUUGUGUUAAGCAAUGAUACAAUCUAUCUCUUUUGUAGGCUUGUCCCCUACUGAUUUCUAUCUGUUAUUAGUAAGGAUUUUGUUGAGAAAGAGAGAAGCUGCUUUAAUAAGAGAAUAGUUGGAAGUUGCCAGAGCUCGGGUCUAUUAGAGGUCGGGUCGGGGUGCCUCUCUUCAAUGAUUGCAGUGCCUUCUAUUCAAUGGUGAGUGGUGCCUCAAUCUAUCUUUGCGCCUAGAGAAUCUGAUGGGUGAGGUUCAGUGAGAAAGUUAUGAAAGUUAUUAUAUAAUAAAGAAAGAAGGUAGUUAACCAGGUAGUUAACCGGGACAGACAGAAAUCAAUCCAGUUCGGGGCGGGGCAAUCAAUCCAUUGUUGCUACUGCUGCUAGUGGAGAUGAGCCAGAAGUCUUAUAUAAGAGAUGAGCCUUAGUUCAAACAGUAGUAGUUGACAGUUGCAUCAGUAUUAGUUGACUCCGGUAUCGGAUAAGAAUUAUGGUAUUGUUGCCAUAGCAGAGGUGGAAGAGCCAGAGUUAUAGGCUUUGAAGCUAAGCAAUAAGUACUGAAGUCCAGAAUGCAACUAAGUAGUUUGAGAGUUCAACUCGGUAGUCUUAGACUGAAACCAUCGACAACCAGGCUUCAACCGGUAACCAAUCAGAAUUACCUCCAGGAGUGACAGAACCAAACCAGUCAAUCAAAGAAUUAGACCUAUUACCAGAUGUCUUCGUUGCGGUAAGUACUGAGUGGAGCCUAGUUGGGGUGCCUAUUGCCUAUUCCAAAUCAGACUUAGUUGACAGAGCCAGAGAGAGAUAGUUUCAAGUCAGAAUGAACCCAGUAAGUAUAUAAGACUCAGAGACAACCUAAUAAGGUAGAGUUACAGAAUUGAGCCAGUGCUUUCCAAGGCUGAUACCCCCGCUGCUAGUACUGAAGUAAAGAAUAGGCUAUGUUGCCCGAGUUGGAUGAGCCCGAGGUAUUCUAUAGGAGAGGUGAGCCAGUAGUAAAGUGAGAAUGCCACUGGGUAGUUACAGAAUGCAACAGUAGAGGUGGGGAUACGGAAUUCCAGAAUGAAACCGGAUCCGAGUAUUUAUAAGUUGCAAAUAGGUUGGAUUCUUGUGUUAGUGCUUACGCUAUAAGUCGUAGAGAGAUAAGUGCUUCUUCAGCUUGUUCUGCUCGAGUUGAAUCCUUUAUCCCAUAAUAAGAGAGGGGUAGUUCCUUGCCUAGUGACUUGGUGAUUUCGUUUUAUGGUAAAUUCCCUAUGUUGCCUCAGGAAAUGACCUUAGAGUGCUUUUGAGUCAUGAAAGAGAGCCGUCUCCUUCUUGCUAACCCACCUACAAUUUCAGAAGAGUUAGGUUCUUGCUACUACAAUUAACAGAGUUCGGGAAGUAUAGAAUUGUAGCCAGUAGAAGAGGCCUCUCUAAUAAGUUUCGAGAAGCUGUUUCAUCUUUUCUCCUUUCUUUUUAAAGAGAUAUCCAAUUUAUAUGUCAUUUAUAUAGGACAAGUAACGACUAAUGACCGCUAAGUCACUACUACAAACUCAAAGAAAGCAGAGCAGGUAGAGAGCCAGUUAUUAUUUAUAAAGAGUAGUAAAAACCUAGUAAGUUGAUGUGCUCGUAAGUUGAUGCAAUCGGUAACUAUUUCUUUUCGAGUCGUUGCUUGGCCCCGGUGAUUAGUUCAAUUCAUUAGUGCACUAGCUCAUUCUUAGCCCUUGAGCACUCAGUCUGACUUGGGCCUCCGCUCACUUGGGUUAUUCCUAUUCCUUUGAUUCUGAGUUUAUAGUCAUAGUCUCCCACUCCCAUAUUACUAGUUUCAUUCUUGUUAGUGAGAGUUCGCACCUUGUUGGUUGAUUUCUUUACGAUAAGAUUCCGUAUCAGAAUCAGCAUUUUCAGUCUUAUUGGUAUGAGUCGAUUUCCUACCUUUGAGUUGUAUUCCUUUUAGUGGUGGCUUAGGUAAAGUUUCAAGGUAGGCUGCUUCGGGGGCUGCAGUGAAGGGCUGAUGGCUAUUAAUUGAAUUCUAAUAUGGGAGGGUUUUUCUUGUUCAUGGAGUAGAAUACUCAAACUAACAAGCAAGCCUAAGAGGCACAGGCGUUGAGGAGCAAGAGAUAAGGGCUAGAGUCCGGUGCUAUAGUUGAGAGUUGGAUUCCUUAAAGUAGUAGACAGGCUCGGUAGACUAAGAAAAAGGGAGGGCAGCCUUAGGUCCGGUAGUGACAGUCCUAUAUUUACUAGUUUCUUUAUUGAGGAAAGAAGUCAGUCUUAUAGUAGUAAUAAGUAAUAAGAGUAAUGAAAUAGUAGCAAUAAGAGUAAUAGUAAUAAGAGUCAGUAACGUAGGAGUGUAUUAUAAACUCUAUAAUAGGAAUAAGAAUAAGUAGAUGUUACUGCCCUGUUGCAUUCUGAUCUUAGUACUUACUAGUCUUUUACUUACUUGUUUCAUAAACGGCACUGCUUUAUGGUUUCCCACUUGUUAGUUCCAUUCUGAAAUUCCGUAUUCCUAGUUGAUAGCUCCAUUCUUGUCAGUAGUAACUCCAUUCUUGUCAGUAGUCAUUGGAUUCUUACUUGCUAGUGAAAGGACUGCACUUUUCCCCCACCAUAUCAGACUGUAGCUGUUGAUCCAGAUCCUAUGUUAUGUGGGUUGUUGCUACUAGUAUGUCCCUACUCACCUGAAACUGUAUUUCCUCUAUAUCAAUCUAUGCGCUCUACUCGCUAGUCUUACUGUACUUUCUCUGAUUCUUAUUGCCCCUGACAAAAUUCUAUCUGUUAUUCUGACAUUGCUUGUCAUUAUUCUGUUGACUUGUAUUAAUGAUAAUUAUUCUGUUGACUUGUAUUAAUGUAAUGCAACCAUUAAUUAGCAUAUAUUAACAUUAGAGUCAUUCCACCGGUUUUCUUAUUGAAACUAUGUCGGAACUGUCUAUUGGUCCUAUAACCUGGCUUACUUAACUACACUGAUAAUAGGGCAUUGAACCAAUAAGUCAAAGAGUCAGAAUACAGCUCAUAAGUAAUAGAACCAAGCUAAGUAGUAAGUCAAAGCUACCGGUCUGAAACUCUCACUCGACCUGGAACAGGCAAUUAUCUUUGAACUCAAAACUAGGAAUAAGGAAUGGAAGAAUGAAACCACAACUAAGGCGAAUGACACUCAAGCGGAGGCUCUUAGCACCUUACUUACUGCUUUGACUGAUUUCUUUGUUUACUUAUUUCUGUAGGUCAUAGGUGACUUUCGGUAUAUAUUAUGCUGUUACUUAUUUCUUUGACCGGCAGAUUGGAAUCGGUCAUAACCUCACUUUUGAACUGGAACUGGGGCAGCAGACUGCAAUCAUCUUUCUGAACUCUUUCACUCCCGGCUCAUCUAACUCAAGCCCAGAAAUACUCCAUUCCAGCUCUUUUCACUCUUUCUCCUCGGAUCUAGCCUCUGAUCUUGAAACUGAUCUCUCCUCUUCUCUUGCUAUUUGAACUCAGUUAGUUUAGUGCUUCUGCCUCACCUCUUUUUCAUCCACCUCUGUCAACAAUCUAUUUCACCCUGCUAGCUACUAUUAACUGCAUUCUUCUCCUCCUGGUCUCUGUUUCUGUCCGGAAGGUAUCCAGCAAAAGAAUCCAACCUACUACUUAAAGAAUCAACCCUAAAGUAAGACCUAUCCCUUAACUACCCCAACAAGUAGUAUUGACCCAACAAGUCGUAUUGAAUAGAGGCGCCCCACACCCCAACAAGUAAGUUCACUACCCUAGCCGACAAGCUACUCGGGAUCAUACUAGGUAUUCCACUCUCACAGGAGCAGGACUCCGAUUGAAGAGCCAUAACCUGAACCUCUAUCCUCUAAACUAAGUCUUGUCAACCUCACCCCCGCCCUCGUAUUGAAGGGAAGAAACCUCUCUAACGCAACCGCUCCAAAGGAGAAUCAUGGAAUUGACGCAAGGCACUACCCUUUCUUGCAGGCCCUAUACAAAUAACUUGGAAAGAGGCAAAGAGGCGACCCACCUGUUAGAUAAGAGUUGAUACUUGUUCCCGGUUUAAAUGGAAGGAAUUGCGCUGGUGCUCAAAGGAAAGAUGGAAUUCUUUGUUUGAUUGCUCUUUGCCUUAAAGUGAAGGAACUAAUUAUCUCCUUGUUUAAGUAAGUUGUGAAUGAGUCUGGUCGUUUAAGGCAUGUUAAACAAUGAUUAUAGCUCAUCACUCAUGGGAUCCUCGUAACCAGUCCCAAAAUGCAUUUGUAGCCCGGACUUGCUCUAGGCUAAAACUUUACUUGAAGUGAAGCUGACCUGACCAACUUAUAAGAAUCGAUCCGACCUGACUUGCAAACUCACUCCUGUCCCGACUGCUUACUUGACUCACUCCUUGACUUUCAUAUAAGAUAGAACUCCCAAGGUAAAGAACUGGCCGAGUCGAUUCGGCUUAUGGAACUCCUUCGCUAACUCCUGGCCUUCGACUUCGGUGAACUUCGUUAGCGUCUAAACUCCGUAAGCUAUACAUUAGACUAAGCUUGUUGGGCAAACCGUACUACUUGACGCCUAUCUGGUACAUUCCUAUAAAUCCAUAUGUAUUUCACUCUACCACUUGACUUUCUACCCUUGCUUUCUUUUGUUCAAACUCCUUUAGCACCCCCGCUCGCUAACGGGCUUGUUGGCUUCUACUUUUCUAACUCUUCUCUUAUUUAGUUCAGCGCGGUGUACUUUUUUCAUUGUUCUCUUUCCUAUAAUGUCAUUUAUUAACCCAGGCUCUGGCUCUAACUGCUGAAGCUUCGCUUCCUCUCUGGACUUUGAAUCUACUGAACAAGCAACGUCAAAUAGAAAGUGACAUAUGAGUGGUGUUCAUGGCGUUAGCGAAAGAGCUCGAAAGAUCUGUUGUCAUCGGUGUUAGUUGAGUGAGUUCCUGUCUUCAUCUAAUGCGAGUUGGGUUGAUAGGUCAAUUACAGGGGUUUCAAUUCAUUGAGUUGAUAGGUCAAUUACAGGGGUUUCAAUUCAUAGGAAUAGAGAAAUCCAAGUUUCUGGGUUUACUGUUUGAGUUGCGCUAGUCUGGAUUUUUCUUAUUGGAGUUGUUGCGGGCGGAGCGGGGAUAGUGAGUUCAUAUUCCAUGAUUUUCUGCGCUUACGGGAGUUUAGUUGACAAUAUAAAUGGGGUUUCAAUUCCGUUUGAGUUGGACUCGAUGCAAGACUCAGUGUUGUGCUAAGGCGAGUUGACCGAACAUGUUGGCUCUAGGGGCUCUUCAAUUCCUCUUCUUAUAUGACAUGUGUGCAAGAGAGAUUUCUUAAGUUCAAUGGAUCCGCACGUAAGGAGUUUGCCGGAAGGGAUGCUGUGUUGAGUAUAGAAUAGAAUGGUUUUGUAACAGGAGAGGACACGAAGUAAGUAAGAGGCCCGAUCAACUCACUAGCGCUCUUAGAAAGCAGAAAAAGUGUUGUAUUCUCGGGAACUAAACCACACCUAGUGCCUAGUAGGGGAGAAGAUACCUUUGGUAGUUCUAAUGCUGCUUUGGAGAACUGAUAGACGAACUUGUAUUCAUGGUAAGGACACGGACAAAACCAACUCCCCGCUUGCAGUUAAUAACGCUUUGUAUUAUAGUAAGAUAGAAAAGAAACGAACAAAAACUCAGGGAAACUUAGAAAUAUAUAUUGCCCGGCGCGCUGAAAGGGGGAUGACACCGAAGAAAACCAACUGAGAUGAGAAGAAAAGAAGGGCAACUAUUUGAGGGGAAAAACCCGAUAGGAAGCUGGUAACUGAGUACUGAGGAAGCUAGUAACUGAGAGAAAGAGUGUAUUACCAAUCUUACGCAUUUAGUACUAAGAUACAGAAUUGUGGUGAGGCCGAACAACUACUAGAGCAAUAAAGAGAAGAAUCUAGAGCAAUAAAGAUAAUAAUUCAUUUCUGGUUUCUUUAAUAAGAUAAUAAUGAAUUUAGUAUGCUUUCUUAUACUGUGUCUGUACUGAGUAUGUAUAUGAGAAAGAUGAGUGGUUUUUCGGGUUUAUUGCAUUUAUUGGAUUCCAAAACUACCCCCAUGUAUUGUAAUUCCACUCAUAAACUAAGAAUAGGGGUAAUCGGGGCCUUCUUUCGCAUCCUGAGAUGGCUUUAUGGCAAAUAUUACAUUUGCUACCCCCUUAGGGGCCAAAAGAGUCCUUUCUCACUAUAGGAUUUUUGGUCUAAUAAAGGGUUUAUACCGGCUUUGUUGCUAGGGUAGUCAAAAGAGAGUACCAUCUUGUGACAGGACCCAUACGCGGCACCCACAUCUAUGAAAUUAAUUACACCCCGACCCGAACUAAACUAUGGCUCUGUACUCUUCUCGACUACUGACUUUAUAACUACUGUUCCACUCUAACAAUAACUGGGGCAGUGAAAUUAGUGACAGCGAAAUCUCAUUCCAAAUGGCUUAUCUCACCCAAGAGCAGAAGCGGCAGUUACAAGAUCAGAAGCGGCGCAUCUCUAAUCUAACACCCAGCUACGGCAGCAACAAAUACAGAAUUCCACAAGCCCCAACCCCACAAAGUAAGUCAACUAAGGAAGUAAACCAACCGACCCUGUGAAAACAUUCCAACAAGAAUUCUCUCUUAUAUAAGAUUACAGAUGAAACUCGGCAAGUAAGUAAACAAAGUCAGUAAACAAGCCAAACCUAGCAACUUGACCAAACCUAGCAACUUGACUAGAGCGUAAGCACCAACCCUACCCGAGUCACAGGUAAAUUCUCCACUUCCCCGCAUCAAACCGGGAUUUUGGAUAGCGAAGUCUACUUAGCCAGUACUUAUUGCUUAGCUUCCUCGCCUUUACGUUACUCUGCCCCGACCCGACCGACCCUACUUCUGGAUAAGAAUUAAGGUAGAACAAUAAAAUAAGGUAAUGACCAGGAGCCCUGGACCGGUUAGACCUAUUAGUACCCUACUCUGGCAACUGACACUCGGUCUUCAACAAGGAAACAAGGGUCGAUGUCAUUUAGCUAUCACAAGAACAGGAGACCAGUAGAGGAGGAGCCCCAAAUACGGGAUUCUUUCUUGCCCAACCCAGUAGUGCUUCUUCACAUACUACCCGCGUAUCAAAGCGAGCACUCGAGAAAGCCUGUAAGAUAGUCUUUCCCAGAACUGCUAGGGAGUACUUUCUUCUUCAACUUACAAUAAGGGCCUCUACAUUCCCUAUGGAUACCCUAUCUCUAAUUCAUUCCUUAUACCCUAUCUCUAAUUCAUUCCUUAUAUAUAUAUGCCCGAUCUUGAAAAGCACUCUCAAUCAGGUUUACGGUGUUUAUUUAACAGUUCUUGUUCUUGUAAGUAAAUGAGUAUUUCUAACAUGAGGAAUGUAGUAGCACCGGGUAGCAUACUUUUUCCCGGUAUUCGUAGUACUGGUAGCAGGGCAGGGCGAAAUAAAGGUUGCCAUCAAUGGUUUCUGUUCUUAUUAGAAGAUUCUAUUUCCACGUUCUGUAUUCGAGCUAAAGUGAGCUUACAAGUCGGUUAAGGCAGUAGACCCAACUAGUCACUGAUAGAGCAAAGAAUGUCUACGACACGAACAAAACACUUUCGGAACUGUUCACUCCUUACUUGACUCAAAGAAUGGAAUAUCUAUAUGAUAUCUGACUAUGAGGCUAUUAACUAAAAUGAACUCUUGCGAUAACUACACCUCUGGCAACCUAACUUCCCGCUUCUUUUAGCACUUACUUUGGCACAGCUUUUCCUUAUGAGAUGCAACUUGAACGGAGUCUGCUCCUUCUUUGGCUCCUGUUACUUACUUCGUGUCCUCUCCUCUGACUUUGAAAUCUAUACAAAUCUAUGAACUGGAGUACUUUGAGCUUCAAAACCGGUACCAGAGAUCUUGUUUCUGCUGAUGCUAACGCUGAAAAAGGAGACAUUCUAAAGCUUACUCUACUGGGCGAGAACCUUUGUUAGUUAGAAGGAAGGUAGAUUAGAGAAGAAUGAUCUGUUCAACUAGAUGUUGCUUAUUCUCCUUCCACUCCAAUCCAAUAAGUGUUAGCGGUGCGAGUACCAUUGAUAGUGCUUGCUGUCGGUUCUUCAAGUUUCAUUUUCGCAAUUAGAUCUUCUGCUUGUUCAGGUUUUAAGCGAGAGUUUUGUGUCAGAGUGAGUAGGCAAUCUGAUGGACUAAAAGAUUAAGCUACAGGGAGUGUAAAGAGCUAGUCUAUUUCAUUAGGCAAAAAAGCAUUAUUAGAGCAUUUGUUGGUUUUAAUGGUGGAUUUUCCAUUAGCAUAGUUUACCAAGGCUUCACUUCAACUUAGCAAAAGAAUGAUUUCCAGCUAGAUAAAGAAAGUAUAAGCAACAUAAGGAUAAGGAUCUUCUGUUGUUCGAGUUUUCUCCUAAGCAAUGAAAGUUGACUUCGGGUCGGGGUCCGCUUAUUCUCUUGAAACUCAAAAGUGACUUUAUACAGUUGAAGAUCGAGUCACUCUGUUGUUGAUACACUUCUAUAUCUUCUGAUCUCGUUGACUUUCCUCUAUAUGCAUCCUUAAUAGAUUACACUCAUUCACUUAGUGCUGAAGAAGGCUAUAAGAAAGGUCAAAAAGGGCAAGAAACGGAAAUGCUAGUGUUGUCCCGUAGAUAGAAGAGAAGCCAGGUGUUGUCCCGUAGAUAGAAGAGAAGCCCGCGCACGCCCCUUCGUGUCAAGAUCAGAACUCGCUUUCCUAAUGUCCCAAAAGAAGAGAAAAGUAGAGUAUAAACAGAAUAGCCUCCUUUUAAGCGCUAACGAAGCUAGAACCAGCAAGUGCCUUCUGUCCUAAAUAAAUACUUGUUCUGGGAAGUUUGGAAUGGAAUUGAACCUAUGCAGCACCUGGAUUUCCACUAGAAUCAUAAGGGAGCGUAGAACAAAGCUUUGGCUCUUUCUUUCAACUAAUCAUCAUAAGGGAACCGGGGUAAGCGCGGGAAGGAACGGGAAGUAGACUCCAAAAUCAGCAGUGCCAGUGAAGUCGAUGAGAUCAGUAGCUUGAUCGGAAUAAGGUAAAGAAUAAGGAUCAUCAUAAGGAGCAAUAAAGUCUAUCGGAACAGACGCAAGAGCCCUUUUUGUAAGUUGAAGCUAUAAGCGGUUCUGAACGGAUAGUCUAGUUUGGGGUAUAGUAGUAGCUUGGAAGUUUACAGAGUUAGAGGAUAAGACGGAGCCUAGUCUGUAGCAAGUGGGUUAGAUAAGAGUCCAGGGCUAGUUCCUGUGAUAAAGUAUGGUGAGAAGAGUUCGGUUCGGGUGCUAGUGUUAUAUCAACCGGGCUUUCCCCUUGUAUACGAGUUAGGCUCGGAUGCUUGUGUUAAGCAUAGAAGAAAAGAUAUAAUUGUGUGGCUCUGAUCCCUACUUGGCCCCUACUUCAUUCAUGAUUAUCUUAUUAAGGAUUGAGUUUAGAAAGAUAGAAGCUCCACAGGGUCGGGGUUAAUAAAGAAGUGUUGUUGAUUCUUUACCGCAAUUAAGGUUAAGGCACUGGACUCAAAUCUACCUCAUUGGCAGCCUUCACCCGGAGUUUGCCUCUGACUAAGCCUUAGCUUCACCUUAAAAGAAUGCUUGGACUAGACCAGACCACAGAUCUUUUGUAAAUGAAAUCUUAUAAUCAGAACAGAAACUAUUGAUGGCCGAACACAGGACAGAGUCAAGGGAGGCUUCAUACAAACACCGCUAUACUUGCUACUUGGGCAUGAGAACUUCGAUUCCACUCUAAAAGAAAGAUACUUGACUGACUUUUGAAUCUCUAACACCAUGCUACCUGGCACCUGACCUAUACAUUACUUCUAAGCCUUAACCUGACUUUCUCACAGGCACUGGGGCAGCAGACUUUCCUCGCUCACACCUCGCAUCAAAGGCAUUCCAUCUAAACCUUCAUAGCUGUAAGUUUGAUCCUAUAUGAAGAAUUGGAAUUCAGGGGCAGAUAUCUAAGUGGUUUUCUACCUUCCUACGUAGCUUGUCACCCUCCGCUUGUCGUUUCUUUGUCGGUUUUUCUUUUGAGUUUAGCUGUUGGUAAAAGAGUUAAGUCGGGUCUUCUACUCCCUUAUUCUUACCCGGCUCCAAAAAGAGAAGUAAAAGCUCUAGUCUAGCUCUAGGUCUCGAGGCCUCCAUAAGAAGUCUAGGGUGCAAGUCCAGUAGUAUACGCUUGUUGGAUCAAGACUAACUUCCCCGGCUUCAGAUCUUGUUCCUUUAGUUUGAUACCCUCCCUUCCGUAGGAGUCCGCUUGCCCACUUGCUAUAUGGUUUCAGAAUUCAGUUAGAUGAGCAAGAUAAGAGUAGAGGUGUAGUUGCCUUGCCUUAGUGGGGAGAGUCGCUCUAGUUGAAUGAGUUGUCGAUUCAGAAAGGGAAGCUAGUAGUUUCUUUAUAAAGAGUUUCGUUGACUUACCCUAUUGCAGAGAAUGGGGGAACUCAUAUGAGUGGAAUUCUUUGACUAAUGAGUUUGAUUCUUUACUGAAGUACUUAUAGCUUAGCUUCCUGGCAGAAGCCUGAGUUCAAAUAGUCUCUUGAGCACCAGAGUUGGGUUAGUUGAAAGAAGUUAAUAGGCUAGGAAGGAAGUUAGUAGUUAAGUUAUGAAGGAAGUUAGUGGUUAUGAGGGAAGUUACUAGGCCUGCAUCUUAGGCAAAGGCAAAGAAAGCAGAUAGGGAGAAGAGAGGAGCAAUAAAAGUCUUAGCUGACAGAGCAAGAGGCGAGGUAGGUAAGGGAGUCCAGAGUCGAGGUUUAGUUGACAGCUGCUGUUCUUGUUCGAGGUGAGGCGUGUUGGUGCUGCCGAAUUACUAUAAGGUCCUGUUCUGGUUGAAUCCCCAGUGGAAUCCUUAUUAGUUGCCCGAGUUGGAUGAGCCAUAGGUAAGGUAGUAUAGUAGCAAUAGGGGUCUCAUAAGAAAGAAAGAAGAGUUUCAGACCGGAUAUCAGUUGGAAGUAGUGGUCCUGUCGAAUCUGUAUUAGUUGACUCCCCGGUAGAUGAGCCGGAGUGAGAUUCGAUGAGAGCAAUAACAGUAUUAGUUGACAUAGGUAUUGUAGCCAUAGUGAUAGUUGACAGAGAUAGAGUUGACUUGUCUACUUUCCCUUAUAUACAAGCGGAUUUACCCUUCCUUUCUUUGCCAGUGACUUGGCUGGGAUGAAACUAAUUCCCCUAUAGUAGUUUAAGAAUAAAGUAAAGGCUUUGAUACGAGGGUAGUUUACUGACUUAGUUGACAGAGCCAGAAGUAUAGUAUAAGAAUGAAGUUAGAUGAGCGCUAGGUAGGGUGCCAUGCCAGUACAGUUAUAGUCGUUGGUGAAUGAAUGAAAUAGUCGUUGGUGAAUGAAUGAAAAUAAGGGGUGGAGUCUCUUAGUAUUGGUAGGAGAGUCUUAGUUGCUGUUCUCUUAUUCUGAGUAUUAGACCUACUUCCUUGUAUUAGUGCUGAUAUCCCAGGAAACUGUAUUUGUAUUAUAAGUAUUAGACCUAAUUCUUUGUAUUAGUCCUCCCUGUGUUUCUCUUUUGAUUGAACUUCAUUCCACAGCCAGGCAGAGGGGCGGGGUAAUGUUUAACUCAAAGCUUACUCAUACUUAUUACUUCACUGGCAUAACUCCCAAUACACAACAAAACGAGUUUCUUUCUUUUUAUUACUUAACUCUACUCUACUACUCCGCACCGGCAUAUUCCACUCUUUCACUUAGGGCAGCUGACCAACUUAUCAUAUUUCUAUAGCCUGUUCCUUUGCCGACCACAACUCUACUAGGUUAGCCAAUAACUUCUCUUGCAGACGCUGCAGAACUAUCAUUGGAAGACCCGCUUGCUGUUGAUAACUUGGAUUAGGCUCCUUAUAAAGAUACUGAUUCAGUUGUCGAUGUCUACUUUCAAUCUUCUGCUUAAGGGUGUGGGUUGAGGUUAGUAUUAAUUAUUCCAGAGAUGAGAUUAGGCUUCAGUUUACUUUACUUCAUACACUUCGACAAAAGUGCUUGUGUUGUCGGUGAAGAAAGGAUGGUUCCGGUCUUGGCUUGGCUUAGAAGAAGAAUGAUUGUUCCCACCCGCUUCCCUAUUAUAGAUGUUGGUAACCAACCGGCGUGCUCUCUCUUUGCCUACCUAGUGCUCGAAACUCAAAUGGUUGAAUGAAACUAAGCUUUAAUAGAGACCUUAUAGUAAGUCCCUUAUAGUAAGUUAGCUUGUGUUAAGCAAGUAGUAAAUAGAGAAUAUAGGACCUCCUGAGGAAAUAGAUAAUAUGGGACCAGUACAAGCAGAUGCCCUUAAGUCAUUGGGGCAGGAGAGGAAGCUUAUUACUUCAGAAAUAGGAUUAGGAACAGGGCAAAGUCACUACUGGACAAGUAGACCAGCUCAAUAGAUCUCAUUUCUAUCUGAUAUAGGAAAACGGAAGCGGCAGCCGCUCUAGAUUAGGACUCCGGGCCAAUCAACUACUUAGCUCAGGGCUUUCAACCUACCACUCCACUACAGCAGCUGGCUUUCAUCUUAGCUCUGCUCUUUACUUCCCCGAACCCCUUUCCCUGUCCUAAUUGGGGUGUGAACCUGCAUUUGAUUCCCGAGUUGCCGAGUUGGGGCAAGCUAUUAGUUUCUUUAUAAAGAAGAGAGUUUACUUAACUACUGUUCCUGCUCGAGUUGCAUCCCCGAGUUUCAUCUGUAUUUGUUUACAGAGGUGGAGGAGCAAUCAAUGGAAUAGUUCUUAAAGCCAUCAAUAGUGAGUAAAACGUAUAGGAGCUGGUAGUAGUUAGUUACUUGUUUCGCGUACAGUACGAGUAGGAAAGUGAGAAUUCCCUUGGAAGGGCAUAAAUCUAAGUCCGGCGGUUAUGAGUAUAUAUAUAAGUCCAACCACUAAAAGAAUUGCACUCCAAGUAAAGGACAGAAACGGGUACUAUCUAGUGCAUUACCCAAGCUGGUACUAUCUAGUGCAUUACCCUAUCUAAAGCUGGUACUAUCUAGUGUAUUAGGUAGAACACUUAGAAUGAAAACGACUGACUUGUAUAUCAAGGGCAAUCUCUUCUCUUCUUGCAACUAAUACUGAAUCAACUGGACCACUACUUGAAGGCCCUGUUCUGGAGAGAUAGUAGUUAAGGUUUGAUGCUCAGCAGAUAUAGUAGGCUUUGCUUUCAGGCAAGCGUAUACUAGUUUCAUCCCGGCCAAGUCACUAAGGGCCAAUCAACUACGGGGCCUUAGUUUCAAAGUUAGAGACAAGCAACUACAAAUCCUCAUUUUAGUAUUCGUGGCGUUAGCGAUCGGUGGGAUUCGGUUGGUUACUUAGCUCUAUUAGGCGGAGCUCAUUCUGAAGUUUGCAUUUCAUUCUGACUUUAUGGUUGAGUUGAGAUCCCUUGUAUUAUAUUUCGAGUACCCAUCGAACAGGAAUUGGAAGAAUGAUGGUAUCAACCCAUCGAACUGGAAUUGGAAUAAUGAAGAUAGAAACCCAUCGCAUCGAACAGGGAUGGGCAGAAUUCGGGUUGGUGGAAGGAAUACUGACAGGAGUGGUGAGUUGACUUACUGGUAUUGUAUAAGAAUUCACCUAGUUGUCGACUUGCCUAGGAACACUAGCUAAGGAGCCCCGGGGAUUGAACCGUGUUAUGAUUUCUUAUGUUAUGCCAAAGCGUAUAUAGGCCUGAUCCUAGUAUGUUAUGCCAAAGCGUAUAUAGGCCUGAUCCUAGUAGCUCGCAUUCAUACUUACUAUUUUCUGCGUCAAAUAGAGAGUUGGAUAACGAAACCAACAAAAGGGUCCGUUUUUCUCGAGUCUUCUUGGUCGGCGAAGAGUCAUCACAGAUAUCCUAGUUUUUCUUUCGUCAAUCAAUUCUAUUAGCACCUUCGGAUCUGGAAGUUAGGAUGUUCUAGUUACAGAUGAAUGGAGGGGGCUUUCCGAGUCCAUAAUAUGGGAAUCGCUUGUUAUUUAGCCGACUGUGCACGACACUCGAAAGGGAGGGGGCGUAGAGUAAGCCGCUUCACCUUCUUGUACUAACUUAGAGCAUUACUAACCCAAAGCAAAGCCAAUCCUUUAGGGCAUUAGCUAGAACCAGAUAACUUUGGCUUGAUGGUAAUUCACCAUCUCAGUGAUAAAGUAGUCUGCUGCAAGCGAGGAAAGAAAUCAUAUUACUCCGCCGCUACAAGGCCUUAGAAACCUAUCCCUUAUUACCAAUAUUCUGCAUUUGAAGUCGUGGUUUCAUAUCUAUCGCUCGCAAUUCUCCAACUCUCUUCUUUAGUAGAGGACCGGAGGGAAGGUAGAAAACUACAGGUUUACAAUUGAUAAACACAGGCCAAGCUACAUCCUUAUUAUAUGGCAAAAGUGAGUAAUAACAGCUUACUUGCUCACCCAGUGCUCUUAACCAACCAUAGCUACGUUUUCAUCAAUCUCGUUUCUUUGGGUGCUUCAGAAAGGGGAGUUGACUAUGACCCAUUAUCUGCAUUAGUAACUGAGGUGCCCUAACUAUAUAGUACUGAAGUGCAGAAUUGACCUCGCCUCUUGCUCUUGCUCAUCUACUUCGAAGUUAUUCACAAGUACUGUAUUUUAGGGAAUGUUUUCAACUGCGAAAUCUAAUAUGAAUUGGAAUUAAAGGGCAGAUUCCAGGGCUGAUAUAUAAGUAGUUUAAUACCUUCUUUCAUCUUAGAAAGAAAUAGAUAACCACAAAGAGAUAGGUAGCUUUCAAAGGGAGAUAAAGAUUCCACUUGCUUUCCUUUUGCCUGUUUAUUGACUUUAUUGGAAUCAGCAGUUAGAGAAUCCGCUGUGCGAGUAAAGUCUCCAAGAGAGGAGUCGGGUGCUUGCCAAUCAGUAGAGAGAAAUAUAGGGUCCUGUGUUGAUGCUCCAGCUCUAAGUCGGUAGAUGAGACUGUAGGUCUGUUAUGAAAGUGAAGUUCAAGGUCUGUUAUGAAAGUGGAGUUCAAUUGUCUAGCUCCUCCUGUGUUCCUGUUCGAGUGAGAGUUUAGGUUGGAAAUGCAGAAAGUCAGAAUGAAAGUAGAUGAGCCAGAGGUCAGAGGUAUAGUCGUGACUUGGCCUCCGCUUGUGGAAUGACUUGUUUUAUUCCAUGGGCAAGGUAGUAGGUAAGAAAGGUAGAGAAUAGAGUUUACUUAACACCUUAGGAAUAGCUGAAUUCAAUGAAAAAGAAGUGCAAUUUCUCAUAUACCAACACAGUAUACACAUAGUAGGGGAAAAUAUAGGAUAAUUUGGACUCUUCUUAUAUAGGUGAACGGAUUCUACUCUGAAUUCCUAUACGAGGGCAGGGUAGUGAAAUCACAAAUAGGGCAAUUCCGUAGUUAAAGAAUUUCACAAAUAAGGUAUCGGCUUUGAAUCAGUAGAAAGAGAAUCAGCAGUGCCAGUUACAGUUCUCAAGUAUGGUUAUGAGAGGUCGAUAGGUAGGGUCGGUCGGCAAGGGAACCAGUUCAUAGUUGUAAGAGGGAAGCAGUUCAGGAGGUAGGGUCGGGGUUAACACUUAUAAGAGAUAGGCUCGGGUAGUUUACCUAGGCUCGGGUAGGCUUUUUGACUUACUUGGCGGGUAGGUUUACUUACUUAGUUGACUUACUUGCUUUUUCAUCUGUCUUUGUUUACAGAGCCAGAGUGGAGGUCGGGUUAGUAGCUAUAGGUACAGAAUAGAGGUGAAGUUACAAGUUAUAGCCAGAGCCAGAUAGGGAUGAGAUCGAGGUCAGUUAUGAUUAUUAGUGGGAAUACCUUUAGUUGUAGUCCAGGUAGUAGUGGUCCAGGUUGCCAACCCAGUGGAAUCUGUCUUUUGACCCCUAGUUUCAUCGUAUCUAUAGGCAGUGAGAAAGUAUGGUGUGUUGGUGCUCUAGCUCGAGUAUAGGCUUGCCCCUGUUCAGUUCUAAGGUAUCUCAUGGAUGUGGGUAAUUCUAAAGAAAAUAGAAAGAAACUAGAGCCAAGUAGUGCUGUUAAAGAGGUGGGCAAGGGAGGAAUCAUACUAUACGGAUCUAAAGCAUAAGCCGGGUGCCCUUAUGAUUAUUAGUUGAAGACCUGAUUGAGAGUGAGAAAGUCUGGUGUUGCGCAAGAAGGAGCCAAUGGGAUAGAUAAGAUCCCGACUACUUAUUAUAAGUAAGGGCGCUAAGAUAAGUUAGUUCAAUUCUGAUCUAGUAGGCGACUCCCCCUGCUUUAAGUCUUAUACUCCCUAGGUGCUUUAAGGCUUCUACUUACUAUAUGAAUUCUUUGCCUACUGAGCUGCAUUCUGACUUUCCACUGGCACUCCUGGCUCGUUGCUUGGCCCCUUACUUGCUGGUUCUAUUCUGAUCUUAGUACUAGGUGUGGCAUUGCAGUAAGUCAACUCCCCUUCCAGCUUCAAAGCCUUCUACUGACUAGCUGGCUCUAAGGCUUAUACUCACUACUUGCAUUCUGUAAGGGACACUAAGGGGUCUUCUUCAACUCCACUUGAAACUUGAAACAAGCAAAGCUGCUGGCAACCUCUCCUCAAGCGUAUACUACAGGGCUGGGCUCGCUUACCAAAUCAUUCCACUUGCUACUCUCACUCGAACAGGAGCAGAACUACUCGACUCUCACCUAGACUCAAAGCCGGAGUCCUCUUCAACACCCGACACCUACCUCGUAAUAGAAUUCCCUGGACUGACUCUGAUUACCCACAUCCAUACUCAAAACUCUUAUCCAUUAUUCCUAAGCUUGUUUAUUGUCCUGCUUACCGCUUUCUUUUUUCUACAUUAACAGCUUUAGAAGGAAUUCAUUCCGCCUCGAACUCACCUCUUGACCCUUGCGUAAGCUGAAGACUGGAAUCCAACUCGCUAAGCGUCAGCACCUAUAACGUUAGGGCAACUGAUCUCCCUGAACUCGCCUUUAUUCAUCGCCAACCGUAAUAGAAGUGACAACUGGUUCUUAUCCAUAGAUGUAGUACCCAUUCUCAGAGGCUUGUAUUUGAUAUUACUUGUUUCUAUGCGCUAGAUAAAGUACCUUUUGUUUCAUGAUGACAUUGCAUUGGAUUUCUGAAUUAAAGUAAGGAGCACUCGGUGAGGUUGGUUGGCGAGAGGGAUGGCAAUUCUUAGUUGUUAGAUCCAUUUCUUCUCCCUUCUUCGCUCUUGCUUGUUGACUUCUCUUCUGGAACUCUCCUUUCAGUAACUUACAAUAAGGGCCUCCACAUUCCUUCCCGAAUUAUAUAUUAGGCCUUCUCUAGCUCUAUCUUCGGUUUCUUAUACAUGUGUGAGUUUAGUUACAUCCUAUAUCCCUUAAUGCAGAGUUGGGAUAAGUAGUGAAUUCCAAAACUAUGACUUUAAGGCGGAAGGAGUUGGCUAAGAGCACUAGGCUGCUGGAGUUAUAUUCUUAUUAGUUGUGGGUUCAUAGUAGCUAAGUAUACGCUUGGCCCCUUACAGCUUACUUAUAUUAUUUAGCUCCACUAUAAGGAUUACUUUACUGUAUAUAAGGAUAGAGCUACUGCUUCUCUUCUUCAUAAAAGAAUAGAGAAUAACAGUAGUUAGUAUAAGAAUGGAUAGGUGGCGUAAGGUAUCAGAACAGCCUACUAACCAGUCAAGGAAUGAAAGUGUCUAGACAUAAUAAAACAAAGAGUUAGGGCAUACGGGAGUGGAAGUACCAAUCCAAAAAAGAGAACUCGGGAAUCAACCGCCAAGCAACGGCCAAGCUGACAGGCAAUAAACUACUUACUUAGGCCAAGCCGACAGGCAAUACGGAACUACUGACUAGUUCAAUUCUUAGCUUUGAGCGAACACUACCCCGACCUCUUAUAAGUGCCCGACCCGAACUAACUCUAUCUCCCAGCUACAGCUUCUAAGGCUUUCAUUCUUGUUAGCACUAGCUCAAGUCUGAUACUUCACAGUUGCAUUCUUAAACUUAGCAGCCCCAACACAGGACAUAGCUUCCCUCGCCUACCUCGACUCGGGCAACUCAGUCAACUAAUUCUGAUUUCUUACCCCGACCAGCUCCAUUCUCAUACAUACGGGUUCGAGCCUGUAACUCACUGGUUUGGUUCUAUGACUCCCGGGAAUAGACUUGUAUUCUUACUUCACCACAACACUAGCACCCAAUACUGAAGCUUCAAAAGGUGGUUGAGGCCUCUUUCUCCUUCUAGCCAACCCUAGUACAACUCAAAAGUCAAAAGAAAACAUAUCAUAUAUACUCAUAUCAUAUAUACUAAUAUUUAUUCAAAGAGGAGGAGGACUUCCACUUUCAAAGAGGAGGAGGACUUCCACUUCCACUCAAUUACUUACCUAAACUAAGUACUUACCAGAACCAUCAAAUUGACAUUACCCUCAUUGCUUAACACAAGCACUCGACCCUGUCCUGAGUUAACCUUCAUUUGAGUCAAGAGUUUCACCUGUGUUCAUUGCUUUGAUACGAGAGUUUCACCUGUGUUCAUUGCUUUGAUACGAGGUGUCCAGAAAGAGUCCGAUAACACUCACUUCACUCGCCCAUCUCAUGGGAAUGUCGUCUAGGAAAGGUGCUUGGUUGCUCCUUCCUUCCUUUCUGAAUUGAGUGGAAGAGGGUAAUAAUUGAACUCCAAGGUCAGAAACAGAGGAAUUAGCCGAGUAUGAUAGAAGAAAAGAAGGUAUAACUUCGUGCCCCUUCCUUUCUGAAUUGAGUGGAAGGUUGCAUUUCAUAAUAGAACUGUCAGCAAUAAAUAAAGAAUGCAAUUCCAAAGUGAGAGUUUACCUCCUUCUCGCUAACCGCCAAGCUUAGUAUAAUGUUGCGCGGCAGUUGCCAACUCUUUCCCGCCAACCGACCGAGUUCUCUUACAAAGUAUUCAACUUUCAGGUAAUAACCAGAGUGCUGAGCGAGGUCUGCUAGAAGAAUAGAUGGAAGAGUCAAGUCAUAAGAGUAGUAAGAUAUCUAAAAGAGUCAAGUCAUAAGAGUAGUAAGAUAUAGAUUCAACGUCUGCUAGAAGAAUCUAAUAAUCAAGUCAGAAGUAACCUCGAAACGAAGAUGGCUACGCAUUAAGAGAUAAAAGAAGUCACAAACCCAGUACCUUACCUUCCCUUAAGACAUGAUCGACUACAGGAUCAGAAGCGUCAAAAGCCGGAUCCGGUGAAGCAUCAAGCGGUUCCUUUCCUUAAGUGGAGGUCGGUUCGGGUAAUAAAGUGGAGUUCCUUGAGAUCAAAGGAGGCCAGGCCAGUUCCAGUUACAGUUCUUGUGAAAUAUCAGCUAAUGGAAUUGUAUAAAGAAAGAAGAUCAUCUCUUUUCUUUGCUUUGCGGCAGAUAUAUAAGUAGCCCACUACACUCCGUCGGUGAAGUUGAAAGCUGCUGGUAUUUAGGUAUAGGUAGAGGCCAGUGGAGUAUCUAAUAUAUAGUCAAGGUUAUAAGAUCAAGAUUCCAUUCCAUAGUACAGGUCAUAAGAUUCCCUAGUCAAGGUAAUAAGAUCAAGAUUCAAUUCCAAGAGGAGAGUGAACAGUAAUCGGUUUUUCAUGAGUUUCAUCCAACAAGCUACUACUAGACGUUGAGCCCGAAAGACCCAAUUCCGUAUUAGUUGACUCUGCACUUCAGGAAUAUGCGCUGAAGAAGGGAAGAAAGAAUAGAUGCCUUAAAACAAGCAAAUCUUACAAGACAAGCCGACUAGUAAGUCAUAGAAUAGUAUGUAGAAGUAGAAUACUAUGUAUGGUAGCUGGUCGCGGGUAACUAACCUACCCUAGUGCUCCUUCCUUGUUUCAUUCAGUAUAAGUUGGCGGGUCUACAAGUUCUUUCUUUUGAGUUCGGGUGCUAAGGCUAAGCAAGUUCCAGUGCUUUUUCUGGCUUACGUUGAGGUCGGAUAGCUCUGUGGAGAUCUCCGUUUGAUAAGAAGCCUCAUCUCAUGCCCACUCAGCAGUUAAGCGGUCAAAUUGUCUGUAAGUCAUACUUUCCCUGCGCUCUAAAGGAAAGAAUAUUCCAUUGAGUAUAGAUAUAGAUAAGAUAACUUACUUAUAUACUAUGGCAAGAAAGAACAAAGAGUACUUCUUUCUUCAGCGUCAAGUUAAGUCAUGUUAGGCCCAGCCCAACAAACAAGCUUAGGUGAGCAUAAGGGAACAAAAGAGAAGAGAAGGGUUUUGGUGUAUUCCUAAUAUAUAUAUAGCAUAAGUUCAAUUAUCUAGUAUAAGUGCAAUUACAAUUAAUAGAUCCAUUUCAUUUGUGGAGCUUUUCGAGGGGCAAAGAUAGGGAAUUUCCAAUAUUGCUAGAGUCGAGUGGAUUCGGCUUACUUAUACGAUGAAACGGAAACUGGUUAUGCUGCUGCACAUUAGAAGAAAGACUUCCUUCUCCUUCUCCUGCUACACCGAACCUAGAUUUCACUAGCCCUGCUUGUCAUCUCGGAUAAAAAACCAUCCCAGCUUCUUAUUAAAUAGGAUCUUGAACUGGGCGAACUGGAACUCUAACUGAACCUCUCCCCUCUCCUGUAACUGAGUUCUACACUACCGUUACUAUAUAUAUUCUAUUCCACAAUUCUCUUCUUGUGGUGAACAGGACAUUAUUCAUCUCUUGUGGUGAACAGGACAUUAUUCAUCGCCAACAACAAUAACUCCUUACUCUACUUACUCGGAUACUGCUGAUCAAGCUUUUUCUCUCGGCGGCCUUUCGCACUUAACUGCAAUGCAACAUUUCAUUGAAUCUCUGUUAGCGCUUACAACAGAUCCGUUAGCUCCCCAUUAUACAAAGCUUGUUCGUUCGGUUCGGUGCUUGCUCUUUCGAAACAGCUUGUCCAAAGAAUUUCGUGCACAGUUCCAUUGCUUAUAGAAGAGUGUAAAAACCGAAGUUCUGCUAACGAACAACUGUCCUCUGUCCCUCAAUCCUAUGAGAAGCAUGUCCCUGAGUUGCUUUAAUAAUUGAGUGCAAAAGAAAGAAAUAGAGAGGCACACGUUGCUCUUUAAUCAAAUUCUAUUUGAGAGGCACCCGUUGCUUUAAGAUUGUCAUCUUGAUUGGCAGCUGCUAAGUAAAGAACUCCCGUAAGCUAUUAUAAUGGCCUGAGUCAAACAGGCAAAGUCAAGCGUCUCAGCAGAGUCAACUCAAAGAUGGAAAUUGGACGUUAGCACUUCGCUUGCUGCUUCCUUUCGCACCCCAAGAUAUCAGUAAUCACUGAGAGCUUCAAAGCCAGCCGAAUAAAGGACAAUGAAUUUCACUUGCCCGAACCUAUCUCUCUGCUCUGGUAUACUUCCUUCACUAAACCCGGCUUGGUCAUUAGUAGUUGCUUGGUGACUCGAACCACAGCUUCUAAGCAUUAAGCUCUAACCCUCGGGCUGACUUUUGACUUCAUCUAAUUCUUCCAAUCAAUACCGAAGUUCUUUAUUUUUGACUAUAGGUUGGUCUGCCCCGGGGUGAUAAAUAAGGCUGGCAUUCCUAUGUCCUAUUAUUAGGCAUUCCCAUGUCCUAUUAUUCGGUAUGCUAUUUUGACUUCUGUUAUUCUUAUACUACAAACUAUAUAGGUGCUGAAAGCCUGCCGCCAAACAGGCUCAAAUGACUAAUAAGUAGAAUCAAACGGGUACUUCUCUGACUUGAAACUCAUAGCCGGGAAGUCCACUACGGAUAACAAGAGUUGAACCACAGCGACUCGGGCUUCUACCCGGGCCAAGCUACUUAUACAAUUAUUAGACUCGAACAGCAGCUUCUAAGAAUGCAACAAGGGCUUCACAUAACAGGAAUGAACCAAGAGUAUAUGAGUCCAACUAGCAAGUAAGGUGUGUGCCCCACGGUACAAGACAAAUAGGAUCAAAUACAGAGAAUGGAACCAAUAUCGAUGAGAGUGAAAACACUUCCAAACGCGGCCAGGCAAACGACUAAUUAGAAUCGAGCAGGCAAUAAUGGAUAUGAACCGGGCAUAUGAUACUGGCAUCGGGGCUAACAAGACCUUACCUCACACCCGGGAAUGCAAAGAGUGCUUCCAAUACCGAUACUACUUCCUAAUUGCCUCUCCUUACUCGCUUUGAUUCUCUCUUUUAUUAUGAUAUUCAGUAAGAAGUUAUCUUAUAUGAAUUUCGACUCUAUUUAUUAGUAGUUUGCUUAGCGAAACUAGUUUCAAAAGCACAAUCGGUAUUCUCUUAUCAAUUUCUAUGCUUGUGCCGAUGUGAAGUCCAAUCUUUUCUCUUAUCUUAAUUACUCUUAUCAUCGAUGCAUACGGGACGGUCCUGCCACCUACUCGGCCAGUGGCCCUUACCUCUUCGAUCUGUUGCCCGACCACUAAAUGAAUGAGCUAUUAUACUAUAAGAAUGGGCUAUGUAUCGCUUUAACUUAAAUCCAAGAAUCGAGCUAAUAGGAAAAAGCCUUCCCUUACGACACUCAAACCUUGCUCACUGCCCUCACUUUCACUCUCAAACUACAAAAUAGAAGAAUUGGUCCAUCCGCUAGGAACUCUACUAGUGCUGACUGGACUGCUGCCGCUAACUCCUAUUUUGACUACCAUGUCGAUAAGUCUGUCCUGCCUUACUUGCAAACUCAAAAAACACUUCCGAGGUCGAAACCACCACGAAUAAUAGAAUGGAGCUACUGGAAAACAGGCUUACUGUCCUUUUGGGCUUGUUCUUUCUUUAGCUUAUCGCCGGAUCCUUGCUUUACGUGCCUUCAACCUUAUACUUAUGCUAGUUAGUCAGUCUGCCUAUCCACUGUUACUCCCCCGGCUUUCGUUCUUAAACAAGUGCUUUUCAUUCUUUCACUAAGGGUCUCGAACCUUGCUCCCUCCCUUUUCUUCUUACUUAUCUAUUUGAUUAUUAGAUUCAGUACUCUUUUCUCUUAUACUAGAAUCAAGCCAGUGCUACCAAUACAGCGAAUCCAAAGCUUGAAUCCGACUAUUACUAACAAGAAUGGAACCGGGUAUACGGGACCCACUAAGGAGAAGGGAUCCAACCAAUAAUACAAUAGAUCGAACUGGUGCUAACAAGGAAAAACUAUACUAUAUAGAAAUGAGCUACUGUUGGAAAGAAUGGAACCGCUACCGACAUAGUGACUUAUCUUUCUGUAGCAAACAACAGCAAGUUCUUUUUCAUUGAACAAUAAGAGCUAUGGUUGGGGUGUUCUGUAUAAGUAACAGAAUCCAACUUAGCAGUAACAGACCUAAGCCCGACAAGCAACAGCGUAAGGACUCUAUUCAAGCUAAAAGACUUUCAGACGGGAGUUUACAUACUAGCACUCGCGCAUAGGCAUUUCAGACGGGAGUGGCAGGCUAAGGGGAGCAGCUGUAUUCUGCAUUUACUGUUACUAGUUUAGAGCGCUGGACUGUGUGCUACGUCCUUAUCCUUAUUCUGGAACUAAUGAGUUCAAUCCUGACCGUGUCCAUCCACGGCUCAUUCUCUGGUUUUCAUCCUUACCUACAGGACAAAUAGCAUCGGAUUCUCUUUCUUAUCAUAGCUUAACACAAGCAUCCGACCCUAACCCUUACUCUCCACUUGAUAACCUCUUGCUGUUGAUUUGAUAACUACUGAUUCUGUUGAAACUGCUCUAACAGCAGACUUGGCGGGCAAAGCAGUCAGAUUAGAAGACUUUAUAACAGCAGACUUGGCGGGUGAAGCAGUCAGAUUAGAAGACUUUCUCACUGCUGCCUCAUCUGAUACUGGAAUGGAUUUGAAUUGAGUCUAUCGAACACUAGAUAAGAAAGUAAAGAAACUGCUUCCCUCUCUUAUGAAUCAGAUCCAGAAGAAAGUAAAGAAACUGCUUGCUUCCCUCUCUAGAGAAAGAUUCAAUGAAUUAUUUGUUGAGUAAGGAAUUGCUUGUUCAUUUAAGUAGAAAGUAAAGUAGAAAGUGUAACCGAAGUGAAGUAUAUAGUUUUCAAUAAGAAAUGAGUUUUGAAGCAAAAGCGGAAGGCAAGCUGUUAGAUUGAAAGUAAGGAGUUGAGUAGAUUAUCUGGCAGCUCUAAGGCAAGCAGUAAAGUAUCAUCGUAUGAGACUCAAUUGAAACCCCCGGAAAGUAGCUCUGAGUGCUCUUCCAUUCAUAUGCUUCUUAUAUGUGUGAUGUGCAUUCAAUUCCGUAUUAGUUGAACAAGCAAGGUAAAGAAAUGGAACUGGAUUAGUUGAACAAGCAAGGUAAAGAAAUGGAACUGGCCAAGCACCAUCAUUUCCAAGCACAGCGGAUGCGGAUUCUCCUAGUUAUUCCAGAGUCCUAAUUCUAUCUGCCGGACUUAGAGCCCCAAACAGAUCUUGGAUUCUCUCUACUCAACUUGUUCCUUUGCUUAUCGAGCUUUGAAACAGGUAAGAUGCUAGGCUAAGAUGCACCAGAAGGACUGUUUCCGAAAUCCAUCAGCUAGGCACCUACGUAUAGUAGAACCGCUCCUUAGCGCAACUAACAACUAAGCUUGGCGAGCAUUUCUUUUGUAUAGUAAUUGAAGAGCAUUGCUAGCAGAAAAACAUCAAUUGAACAACUUCCUAAUACGCCGAGUCAAACAGUAAUGGAGUCUCUCUCUUUGACAUAUAAGUUCUUAAUUGCCCCAACGUUAGCUGAAUCAAUCGAGUCGAGCGCAGAGCUAUCAUAGCAUCUAAGUUAUUUGGAUUACCCCACUGGAUUCUGAUUAACCCCUUAUGAAAUCUAUUUCAUCUCGCAUUACCGGCUUCAAUCUAUCUCCUAUUACCGGCUACCUUUUGCUUCCUUACUAGCAGGAUAAGGAUUGCUUCUUCCAACUUAUUGUUCUGUUGCAUGUUAAGAAGAUCUUCUAGCAGGAAAAUAUAUUAGCUAUGAAGCUUAACCAGAAGGAAGAAGAAGAAGUGCGAAGUUCUGACUCAUAACCUUGCCUUGCUUUUUCUAUUUUGCAGUAGAAAGAUAUAAAGCAGUGUGAGCUCCCGAAUAAGCUAUUCGAGGAAAGGAUUCUCAAUCAGGUGGUUCAAGCGGGAUCUGGAAAUAAUGUUUCUGUUCGCAAGGAAAGUAACGUUCUAGGCAAGUAAACGAUAGAAUCAGCGUCAGUUCAAUCUCAUUCUGCACUAACGGGGAGUUCUCUGAGGCUUCUUAACCAGUAAGAUAUGGAUCUGAAGCGGGAAAGGUAGAGUUUCCAGAGUUGGUAUAGAAAUUGGGUAAUACUCAAUCAAUAUGCUUUUCCUCACUUUCGGAUAAAGGUAAUCAUCUAGUACUGUUGAAGCGGUAAGUACUUAAUACGAUUGUUUUCCAGUGCUCAAAGUUAUGAAGAAGUUUUAGAAGAUGGAUCAGGUAGGGAAGACGUAUUAGAUGUGUUCUCUUUAUAUGCUUCUAUACCGAGUGCUCGAUAAGAUAGAUAUGAAAUUGAAAGACGAUUAGAAUCCGGAAAGUCUGUGUAACUUGCCGAUACUAGUUCCAGGGCUAUAAGGUAAGCUCCUUGCUAGGAUGCUCAAGAGAAUCAUCUCUCUAAAUUGCAGACUCUUCGGGGUAUAUUCCUUUCUACUAUGGCAUAGGGAUGGCACUUCCUUGAAACUGUUNNNNNNNNNNNNNNNNNNNNNNNNNNNNNNNNNNNNNNNNNNNNNNNNNNNNNNNNNNNNNNNNNNNNNNNNNNNNNNNNNNNNNNNNNNNNNNNNNNNNNNNNNNNNNNNNNNNNNNNNNNNNNNNNNNNNNNNNNNNNNNNNNNNNNNNNNNNNNNNNNNNNNNNNNNNNNNNNNNNNNNNNNNNNNNNNNNNNNNNNNNNNNNNNNNNNNNNNNNNNNNNNNNNNNNNNNNNNNNNNNNNNNNNNNNNNNNNNNNNNNNNNNNNNNNNNNNNNNNNNNNNNNNNNNNNNNNNNNNNNNNNNNNNNNNNNNNNNNNNNNNNNNNNNNNNNNNNNNNNNNNNNNNNNNNNNNNCCCCCAUAUGCUAAGAAUGAAAAGAAAUAGACUCACGAACGGACUUUGAACAUGGAUUGGAAUUUGACUUGUCGUACCCGACCCCAUCCAAAGUGAUCCAAUGACUUUAUUAGCUUCUUUCUCACGUUGAGUUCUAAUCGAUACAAAGGACAGAGAUUGACAAGCCACUCAACAAACAAGCAAAUUCAGAAUCUCUUCCUUGGGUGGGGGUUAUUCCUCAUUUUAAUCCGAGACAACCGUCAGCAAUGGGGCUAGCUUCUCUUUUCGAGUGUAACUCUUCUCUGAUUAUCUAAGGUUGCACAGCUAUUAUAUAGAUAGUCUACUCCUCAGCGGAAAGAAAGAACCUAAUUAUGCUACUGGUACCUGUAUUCUUGUUACUCUGCAAAGAGCGCAAACGAGAAAGAAUGGUUUUAUUGACUAGAAAGUAGUAAGAAGGUAACUCGACUAGAAAGUGGUAAGGUAACUCGACUAGAAACUAGUAAGGUCACUCCUGUGCCCGUCGGGAAUAAUCCUUUUCUGAUGCUUGGCACCUGUCGGAGAACAUCUUUUCCUAACAUGGGUUGUAGUCGUUACAGCUAUGAAUGGUACAGAACUGCUUCUUUUUCUGACAAUGAAAAGUCAUAACUUAAGCAAAGUGGCAAAUAAGGAACCUUGUGUCAACCCGUCACCGAUAGUGGCCUAUGUUCCAAGAACCAAUGCUACCUACCAAUAAGGUCAUAACCUACCACUGAAACGAUGCCUGCUGCUGAGAAUGCUAAUAUUGUGCAAAAUGCACCUGCGGAGGUGAAUGCUGGUGUGGCUACUUGGCUUGGCUCGCCAUGAAAGCGGACUCUUUCCAAGGAACGUAAUGUAUCCUGUAGUAGAGCGCGAGCGAGAGGAAGAGAAAGGCGGAUUAUCAAAACAAGAACGAGAAGAUCUCGAAUAAGGAAAAUGGGGUUCUUUCGCAGCUAGUGGGUCCAAAAGACAUGAGAAAAGCAAGGUGCUGAAAGCCUUCACCCAUUUUCUAAGAUCUAUUGAGUGAGUAAGUAGUCUAUAACUUCCGUAUUCUCCUUCUUUGACUUCCCCUCCAAUUCUGCUCUAUAACUAAAGUCAUUCUCUAUCACUAAAGGCGCCUACCUAUUCUUAAAGGUGCCAACACACCUAUUGAUUUCUUGAAACCACUCGGCUACACACCUAUUGAUUUCUUGAAACCAUAGUAUGGUGCAUCGCAACAAACACUUUGUUUAGUAUCGCAUGGCACGCGCAACCACCACAUGGCCCAGAGAAACACACACACCAUACACAUACCCAAGGGAGAAACUUAGGACGUAGUGGAUCAUUCACCCAUGAAACGAUGGUAGUAUCGCCCCUAAAGUCAAUCGCUCGGUCAUUCAACGGUCGGUCGUCCCGUCCACACACUCAUUCAUAGCAAUGGUCAAUACACUCUGUCUUCGGGAGAAACAACGGUCGGUCGUCCCGUCCACACACUCGUUCUGUGCUCUGGUCCAGCAACUACGUCCCGUCUUCGGGCGUACGUAAUUAACUUAGUCUUCGGGCAACCAUCGGACCAAUCAUUCGCAGACCCCGAGGCACAAUUCAAUCAUGCAUUCAUAGGUAGGCGUUGUUGGGCACUAAAUCAUUCUUCCGGCAGUUCAUUCUUCCGGCAGUUACGCACAUUCUUAAAGUAGAACCGAUCAUUCCUCGGGCACCGUAGCUCACGCAUCAAAGGUUCAUUGGACAUCCUUCGCUUCGUGGGUGGGAGCAACAACAAUAAGGUUUCACAGGGGCAUUCGUUCUUUAAGUAACUACGCUCAGCCUCGGAGUACCUACGCUUAUUCUUUCCCUUAAGUGAACAUAGCAUUAAUAGGGUUGUUGUUCGUGCACCUACUCGUUUAGUAAGCGAUAUAAUUCACCAUCGGCGGCGCCAGGUUAUUAAGUGGGUUCGUUCUGCAAUAUAACUAUUUGCCCCCACUUAAUCAUUCUCAUUCUGAAAGUGACAUAAAAAAGUAUUAGUUGGCAUGGUCGGCGAACUCAUUCUUUUGCCUAGUUUCGGGGUAAGUUAACUCAUUCCUUCGGUGGGUUAACAAAUUAUUGAAGCUCCAAUUAACUCACUCAGUAAUCGAAGGUACCUUGUGGUUCAUUAAUAGAGCGGUCGGUCGUGCACCAACUCAUUCAUCGGUCGACACAACCAACGUGCAUGUGGUCGGCACCGCCACAACAAAUAUAUCGUGAUACAGAAAACAACUACCAUUUGAGAAUCCAAAAGUGAUAUAGAAGUCACCCUAAAACAAUGAACCUUUUCUUUCUACUCAAGUACUUAGCGAUGUAAACCUGGACCGGAUUUCUCUAAGGUUAACCCGAUUCGAAUAGCUUAUUUACUUAGCGCUGAAGAAGCCCAUAAGAGGUAAGGGCAAGAAGUGGAGUUACCUAC